UUUUUUUUUAUUUUUAAAAAAAAACUUAUUAAUAUAUCUUAUAUAUAUACAUAGAAUACAAAUAAAAAUAAAAUAUUUAUGAAUAUAUGCGUAGUUUCGAAAGAAAAGAAAAAAGAAAAAAGAAAAAUCAACAACCUUUCGUGUUUGCUAUUUGCUGUCUUCUUUAUGUGCUUGAAUCUGGUGUUUUGAUAUUGCGAAGAUCGAUUUUGUACUCUAGAAAUUUACUGUUUGUAUUGAUGAAAGAAAAAUCCGAAUAGAUUCAGCCCCCCAUUUUUACAAUAUUUUGUUUAGCUUUUUAUAGCCAUUUUACAUCAAUUUUUUUCAAUAUUUGCUGUCUUUUCUUUCUUUGAUUUUACAGGUGCAAGUGGUGGUGGAGCAGGUGGCGGUGGGUGGUGGUGGCAGAGUCGUCAGAGGCAAGUGGGGAGAGGGUGGCUAGGGUUUCAGCUUUUUCUGAAACCCUAAGUCUAGAGUUAGGUUAGAAAUUGGGUCUCUUAGGUUUGGGCUAGGGUUUAAUUUUGGGUUUGGGUAGUUGGGUUUAGGUUAUUUAUUUGGGCUUCUGUUGGGUUUUGAUGUAAAUGGGUUUAAGUGGGUCUGAUGGGUUAAGGGUUUUGGGUUGAUUUGAUUCAAUUUGGGUUUGGGGUUUGGUGGGUCAAAAUUGGCCUGUAACAGCUGCCCCUCUUUGCUCAUUGUCGUGUAACGAGAAUAGAGCAUAGACACAAAGAAAGGCCAAUUUUGCCCGGCCUUGCCGAGUCUUGACUUCUUUGGUGCUCUUCUUGUUCAAGUAGUCUCUUUCUAGUCCAUCGUAUCCUGUAGCUUUGGUUCAAUCCAUUGUAUCUUCUGAUAUAUGCCUUGUAGCUUCAAUCUGCUCGCAUCUUCAGGGGUAUGAGGUUCCUAGCUUCGAUCUGCUUCACUGUAACUUCAAAAAGAUGAGAUCUACAGCUUCAAUCUGCUCUUCUACCACUUCAGUGAGAUAAGGUUUGUGGUCUUCUCUUCUGCAACUUUAGAAAGGCAAGAUCUGAUAUCCUCGAUCAACUCCACUACAAUUUCAGGGAGACAAAAUCUGGUGUCUUCAAUCAGCUCCAAUCUUUAUUCUUUACUCGGCAUGUGAUCCUGAGCUCAACUCACUUCUCGCAAUAUGAGUUGUCUCUUUAAAAAAGACAUUAAAAACAAAAAUUGAAAAUACAUCAGCGUGUCUUGAGGCUCAACUCACCUCUCGCAAUAUGAGUUGAUUUUUUUGAAAAGUAGAAUUUGAAAAGCAGAAAUUGAAAAUACCUCAGCGUGCCCUGAGGCUCAACUCACCUCUCAAAAUAUGAGUUGAUUUUUUUUUUGAAAAGUAGAAAUUGAAAAACAGAAAUUGAAAAUAUCUCGGCGUGUGACCUGAGCUCAACUCACUUCUCGCAAUACGAGUUGACUUUUUUUUAAAAAAAAUAGGAAUUGAAAAUACCUCAGCGUGUGACCUGAGGCUCAACUCACCUCUCGCAAUAUGAGUUGAUUUUUGAAACAUAAAUUGAAAAUACCUCGGCAUGUGACCCGAGGAUCAACUCACCUCUCGCAAUAUGAGUUGAUUUUUGAAAAGCAUAAAUUGAAAAAUGGAAAUUGAAAAUACCUCAGCGUGUCCUGAGGCUCAACUCACCUCUCGCAAUAUGAGUUGAUUUUUGAAACAUAAAUUGAAAAUACCUCGGCAUGUGAUUCGAGGCUCAACUCGCCUCUCGCAAUACGAGUUAAUUUUUGACAAAUAGAAAUUGAAAUUACCUCAGCGUGUCCUGAGGCUCAACUCACUUCUCGCAAUAUGAGUUGAUUUUCUUUGAAACAUAAAUUGAAAAAUACCUCAGCGUGUCCUAAGGCUCAACUCACCUCUCGCAAUAUGAGUCGAUUUUUGAAAAACAAAAAUUGAAAAUACCUCAGCGUGUCCUGAGGCUCAACUCACCUCUCACAAUAUGAGUUGAUUUUUUGAAACAUAAAUUAAAAAACAAAAACUGAACAUACCUCAGUGUGCCCUGAGGCUCAACUCACCUCUCGCAAUAUGGUCGAUUUUUGAAAAACAGAAAUUGAAAAAACCUCGGUGUGUCCUAAGGCUCAACUCACCUCUUGCAAUAUGAGUUGAUUUUUGAAACAGAAAUAAAAAUAUCAGAAUACCAAAACAAAUCAUCUGGUGGAACUCAAGUGUCUCUUCCUUGAUCCAGUAUAACUAUCAUUCAAAAUUUCUUACUCUGCUGGAGUACCUGUAUAUGUCAUGCAUGAUGUUAUCAUGAAAUGCACAUGUUUGCCUUGAAUACCUUUAUGCCUAUAUGAUUAUGCUAUGCGCAUUGGGCUUGUUUGUCAUAUGUCCCUUUUCGUCAGGAUUUUUUAUGAUCUGCGUUCAUUGCUUCGACUCUUGACUUUCUCUUCAGUACCCAUUCUCUACUUUAUGAGUAACCUGCGUUUAUCAGAUAUCACUCUUUUGCCCCCUGUUGAACUUUGUCCUUGCUUUGAGGCUCUUUAUCAAAUUCUCAUCCGGGUAAUACUCAACAUUUGUUUUGUUUAGAGUAUGUCAUUUUAGAAUGUUCUAGAUGUUCAACGCAUGAACUCUUCCACAUUUCUUAAUCAAUAAUCUUUUCGAGCAUGGCUUCUUGCUUAGAAAGUUUCGGACUACAGAAAAUGCUUCAAAUACUGUAGUCUUGCUGUUUGCCUCACUUCUUGAAUCUUUUUACUCCUUGGGCCCAAACCUGCUUCAUUAGGACGCCCUUUCGGGUUUUCAUUCUAAUUUUUGUUUAUCAAGACGCCCUUUUCAGGUUUUCAUCUUGAUCUUCUUCUUCUUCUUCUUCUUCUUCUUCUUCUUCUUUUAAGGCGUCAUCACUCAUUGCCCAUCAGGGCUCUAUUACUGACGUAGUACGCUGCCCUAUUGCUCGGUUAGUAUUUCGACCCAAAAUCUAAGGAAAUAACCGCGUUUUGCUCAACCAGCUUACCCCACCGUAACUUUAGGGUCCAUUCCACUAUAAUUUGGGGAUACAAGGUUGGUACUAUCUUUAAACCAUUCCAUCGCAAUUCCCGGCUAUAUGAUUUGUAUUAACUUUCAUCCAUCCCACUGUAACUCAAAGGUAUAGGAUCUGUAAUUUGUUCCAUCAACUGACCAUUCCCCGGGUGACCUUAUCAGAUGUUUAUGCGUGAUAUUUGCAUGGAUGCAGAAUGUCAUUUUUUUUAGAAUGAUCCAUUUUUAUGCGUAGAUUGACUAUGCUUGUUUUCAUCGAGAUUAUAUCACUGACGCGAUAUCUUGUUUCUGUUCAGCUAAUAUUUUUGACAGAAAAUCUGAAGAGAUAAAUUCGAUUUAAGCUUAAAUAUUUCCAACUCUUACACUUGGUGAGCUCUUAAACAACAGUCGUGUUUCAGGUUCCUGUACUAUUUAGAAGCUUUCAGAGUAAUUGUAACACCCCCUACCCGUAUUCAUUGCCGGAAUAUGGUACGAGGCAUUACCGGAGUUUACUGAACAUUUUCAGAUAAUUUUGAGUCAUUUAUUAUUCAUAUUUUGAAAUAAUCAUAACGUCUCUCUAUUAGGCUCUCGAAGCCCAAAACAUACAUUAGAAACCAACUGGAAUAAAAUCGAGAUCAUAAAAAUUUUCGCAAAAUCUUAAAUUAUAUUUUCAUCUAAGUACUUACCAUUUCAACGCUCCUUAUAAUUAAACAUGUUACCAUUCAAUCAAUAGCUUGGCACUUGUCUAAGCGUCAAACAACAACAUUAUUAGUAUACUUGCACAUAUUUCAUAUAAAUUCAACAUUGAUAUACCUAUUUUCUCAACAUAUCACACUUGAAUUUAAUAAUAGUCUCAACUUACAUAAUUUCCUUAUAUCAACAUAUCAAAGAUAAUUAUAUAUGUACAUGUCACAAAAUAUAUUAUUCUCUUACUGUUUCUUCAUAAGCAUAUAUCAUUCAUUUCGUUAUGUCAAUAUUUCAUGCACCAUCAUUUCCUUAUAUCUUGUAUAUAUUUAUUUCGGUAAUAGUUCGUAUUAAACUUAACAUAAAUUAAAUUCCAUGUACCCAUACUUAUUUCAUUUAUCUAUCUUCUUAAUUAUUUCAUACAACUAUUUUGUACAUAUAUUUCCAUAUGACCAAUUCCUGUAAACAUUUCACACAACCAUUUCAUAUAACCAUUCCAUCUUAUACAUAUUACCUGAAUAUCGAUUGUUCAAUAGAUAUCUUGGCGUUUCUCUUCCUCGAUCGUAUUUAUCUUCGACAUGAUGUCAUAGUAUCUUUCAACUAUGGUUUUACUCAUUUUCUGUCAUGUUGCCAUGGUAUCUUUCAACCAUGGUCUUAUUCAUUUUCCCUUCAUGUUGCCAUGGUAUCUUUCAACCAUGGUCUUACUCAUUUCAUGUCAGGUUGCCAUGGUAUCUUUCAACUAUGGCCUUAUUCAUUUCAUAUCACGUUGCCAUGGUAUCUUUCAACCAUGGUCUUACACAUUUCAUAUCACGUUGCCAUGGUAUCUUUCAACCAUGGUCUUACACAUUUCAUAUCAGGUUGCCAUGGUAUCUUUCAACCAUGGUCUUACACAUUUCAUAUCAGGUUGCCAUGGUAUCUUUCAACCAUGGUCUUACACAUUCCAUAUCACGUUGCCAUGGUAUCUUUCAACCAUGGUCUUACACAUUCCAUAUCACGUUGCCAUGGUAUCUUUCAACCAUGGUCUUACACAUUUCAUAUCAGGUUGCCAUGGUAUCUUUCAACCAUGGUCUUACACAUUCCAUAUCAGAGAGCACACUCCCACGAACAUCAUCCUUACAGUGGGAUUACCAGUCCAAGCUAAAUCCCCUGUAAUAUAAACUCAUAGAGUAUUGUCGGGAUUACCAGCCCAAGCUAAAUCCCCUGCAACGACAAUUACUCUGAUGAGCUUGGAUCUGAAUUACCAAUCCAGGCUAAAUUCAGACCCUAAUUCGGAUUACCCGUCCGGCCUAAAUCCAUUUUCCACAUAUUCUUCGGGAGGGCUAUAUCAGGAUAGGAUCACCCGUCCGGGCUAGAUCCUUUUUACCAUCAAUUCCUUUUCAGAGAUCCAUCGAAUUUUCCUUCCAUUCAACCGUGAUUUUUUUCCUUUUUUUUUUCAAAUAUAUCAAUGUUUCAUAAAUUUCCAUAUAAUGAACAUUCAAAUUAUAUUCAUAUAAAAAAAUGCAUUUCAAGCAUUUAAGAAUAUAAUUCAAGUUACACGAACUUACUUGGCGAAAUUACAGAAAUAUCAAGAUUAAGGGACAUUUUGGUAAUUUACCAUUUUCCCAAUUUUCACCCGAUCUUAAAUUGAAAAUUUCAUUCAAUUUAUUAAUUUAGAUAAUAAAAAAAUUCAUUCCCUUCAAUUUGGUCAUUUUUGACAUUUUUACAAAAUUACGCCCUGAAGUUUUACUUUUAUUCAAUUCAGUCCUUAAACCUAAAACAUGCAAAUUAGCCAUGCUAGCUGGAUAUUCAUAUAUAUUUUCCUCCUCCUCCUCUCCAUUCCACAUCCUUAAUGUAUAUAACACACUUGUAAGUAACAUUAUCUAUAAUCUUUAUUAUUUUCUUUUAUGAAUAUUCAAGCUGUCCAUCUGUGUCAUAGUCACUAAAUUAUUUAUAUCUAGAGCUAUAUAACUCCAAAUUAAGAUCCAAUAAUUUUCCCUGAAAUUACACUCAUAUAUCUUCUUACCAUAAAAUUUUCAGAAUUUUUGGUUUAGCUAAUAAGUACAGUUUAUUCUUUAAAGUUACCCCUGUUUUGCUGUCUAACAGUUUUGACUCUUCUUCACUAAAAAUUAAUUAUAUCCUCGUACAAGAUUCAAAUGAUGUUUUCAUUUGUUUCUAUGGAAAAUAGGCUCAUUAAGUAUUCUAAAAAUAUGAAUUUAAGCCCGUAAUUAUUUUUCUCCAAUUUUUUAUGAUUUUCCAAAGACAAAACAGGGGAACCCGAAAUCAUUCUGACCUUGUCUCAUAAAAUUUAUUAUUUCUCAUGAUUCACAAUUCCAUUUCUUACAUAGUUUCUUUUAUAAGAAACUAGACUCAAUAAGCUUUAAUUUAAUAUUUUAUUCAUCCUCUAAUUCGAUUUAUACAGUUUUUAGUGAUUUUUCAAAGUUACACUACUGCUGUUGUCCAAAACAGUUUUAAUGAAAAAUGUUGAUUUCCAUUUUGCCCCAAAUUUCAAAGUUUAUACAAUUCAGUCCUUGCUCAAUUAACCCCUCAAUUGAGCUAAUUUUUCUCAAUUAACUCUUUAGUCUAUCAUUUUAAACUUCUUCAUAACCCCUAAAAAUCAGAACUUUAGCAUUAGACAUUAAUUCCAAACUCUUUCUUAAUUAGGUCCUAAAAUGAAUUUUCCAUCAAUUUUACUUGAUAAAAUCAUCAUAUACCAAAAGUAAAGCUUCAAUUAUAUGAUUAUUCAUCAUAUUAUUUCAGCACUCAUCCAUAAAAACUUUAAAAAUUAGCCAUGAAAUCAAAAACUAAUGAAAUAGUAAGUUGGACCCAAUUGUAAAAUUCCAAAAACAUAGAAAUUUCAAGGAGAAAGCAAGAAUUAAACUUACAUGAAGCUAGAGCAUGAAAACCAAAUUGAACCACCUUCCAUGGCUAUUUUUCAGCUGAUGAAUAUGAAGAGAAUUCUAGAUUUCCAAUUUAGUCCCAUUUUUAUUUAGCAAAUUUUGACAAUUUUCCAAUUUUGCCCUUAUUUCACCCAUUUCCUGAUUUUUCUCAGCUAUUGCCGCCCAAAAUAUCUCUUUUGGGCUUAUUUUCACUUUAGGUCCUUCCUCAUUUGACAAUUGAGCUAUUUAAUCAUUUUAGCAACUUUUACACAUUUUCCAAUUUAAUCCCUUUUAUUUAAUUGACCACCCAAACGUCAAAAUUUUCUAAUGAAAUUUUAAUACUACCUUAUUGACAUUCCGAAAAUAUUUAUAAAAAUAUUUAUGGCUCGGUUUAUAACAUCAAGAUCUCGAUACUUUUUUUCUCAAUUUCUUGACCAAACAAAUCUUUAUAAAACAUAAUUUACUAUUCCAAAAAUCUUUUAAAAACUACAUUUGGCUCGUAAAUAUUAAAUAAUAUAAUCUACGAGUUCAUUUGUCGGAUUUGAUGGUCUCGAACCAUUAUUUUCGACAUCGUUGAAAUUCAGGCUAUUACAGUAAUAUGCAAAACUCCUUUUAUAAAAGUAUGAUUAGUCCAUUAAUCAUUAUUUCAAUGUGAAAUGCUUGAAAAGGAUCGAACUGAUGGACAAGAAGAAAAUUGAUUAAGAGCAUAGCUUGAAACAAACAAGUUGAACAAUGAGAGUAAAUGCAAGUUUAUUGGAAGCCCAUUUUGAAAAGAAUAAGAUAAUCAAAGAUAAAUUCAGAAAUGGGUAAAAUGGAAAGCUAAGUGCCCCAAAUAUCGCAGCCUGAGCUUCUCUGUACAAACUCCUUUGAAACAAUUUUGAGUUCAGCAUGUGUUUAGGGGAUUCAGAGUACUUUGUCGAUGCCCCAAGACGUACCAUACUUCUUCACUGUCAAUUCAAGUAUAGCAAGACUAUCAUAUGCCCCACCUUUGAACAAAAUUUGAGCCACCUUUUUCAGGUUUACAACUCAAAACCCCUUUGGUCUUAAGGCGCCCUUUACGGAUUUUCACCUUGACCUCUCCAUUUUCUUUUCUUUCUUUUUCUUUCUUUCUUUUUUGCUUUUGAAUGAAUGAAGGUCACAAAGCGCCCUUUGCGGGUUUUCACCUUGGCCUCUCCUUUUUAAGUAUCUCUGGACUGAAUUCGAAUUUAGGAUUGGAUCAGUGUUCUUCCGGGGAAAGCCUCAUUUACUUCAUAAAGUUCUUAAGCAUUCAUUUUCCUUUGAAAUCCUUUUGUAUAGAAAGGAUCUUCUGCAAUACCAAGUUCCUACUAUGAAAUUCCUUUGGGUGAACCAUUUCCGUCAUAACUCAGCACCAUACACGUUUGACUUUCAAACCCUUUUCUGCAGUCAAGUUUACUGAAGACAUUUUAAUUCAUCCAAUUCUUGAUUCAAUCAAAGCUUGGAGAAAAAGAAUCUUAAUUUCCAUGGAUAGAACCACCUCUAAUGCCCUAGUGAAAGUCCUGGUCAACUUUAAUAAGCACAAAGAGUAAAAGGUAGCUUCUUAUGCCAAUAUUUACAAGUCUCGGUCACCUUCCAUAACUUUUCUUUAUUUUUUUAUUUUUCUUUUGGCAGCCUUUGUUGCAUUGUGAUAUGACAUUGUACAGUUACACAUUAAAACAUGAUUCUUUCUGGCAUUUGAUCUCUCUUUUUUAUUUUUUUUUGUUUUUUUUUUCUUUUCAUGACUGUCGACUUUAUGAUAUUGGCAUAUGAAGCAACAUUCACCUUCUUAGUGAAGCAAUUGACAACCAGGACGAUGAUGUCGACUAGAAGCUUUUGACGAGAUCAUCCCCAGAACAUCUAUGCCCCACGUAUUGAAAAGUUUGUGAAGAGAUGGAAGAAGCACAUGAGUCUUGACGACAUAACUGAUUCCAUUCCCUUCCCAUGCUGGACCAACAAUAUCUGAUCCUCAUUGAUUAGCCUGGUUAUUGCAGAACCAUUGUCAUGUGUUCUUUAGACACCCUUAUGGACCUCUUUCAAGAUGUUCCUAAGUGCGUCUUAAUAUGAUCCUGCGAAAACAUCCUUGAAUUCUUGGAAAUAACUCCAUAGUCUUGCCUUAUUUCUGCGGUGAGCUAGGUUUCGAUCUUCAUCUCUUUCCCAAGCUCACAAUGUCAGCUGACCCUUUGUAAGUUAGGGUCUGUCUUUCAUCUCAUUCUGUCAUCCUUCAUGAAUCGGAAGAUAGACACAAUCUCUGUCAUCUUCGAAGUUCUGAGAUCCCUCUAGACACAUAUCUUGCUCCAAAGGGAGUUAGUAACAGCGUCGCUCGUGACAUUGAUAUCUGGGGACCUAGUGUGUGUACGAAGGCAAAUUCCAGAGAAUAAAUGAUUCUAAGGAUGAUUAUUUGUAUAGGAUGAUCAUGAAUGUAAAAUAAAAGAAUGAAAGCCCAAAUAAUAAAAGAAUCUAUAAAUAGAAGAAAAUUUACUCAAAAAGAUGCAUUUCAUUGAAAUAAAAAUUUUGGACCGGAGCUUAUUUCUCAAAAGAAGUCUUAUCACCUCUAGGCUUAAGAUAAUAAGUAUGUUUUGAAUAUUACUCUAGAUUAGCUUUAAAAGUACACGGAUCUCUUCCACUGCCCCAUUGUUCAAAACACUCCCAAGUAUGUGAAGUUUGGAGGUGGGUGAUAUCGAGGACGUGGUUGAGUUGGGUACGAAUUAGAAGUAUAGUGGCUUCAUGUUCCCACCACAUGGGUUUCUGGCUCUUUUUUCUUCAUGAGUGCUGCCCUUUUGAGCUCUCGGUGCCUUCCAUCCUUCCAUUUUUGAUGGCGUUCUCUAUAAGUUCCCCAGAUAUUACGAUAUCCGAAAAAUCCUUCGUAGCACUUCCCACCAGCUUAUCAUAGAAUGGAGCUUUCAACGUGUUGAUGAAAAGGACCGUUAUCUCAGUCUUAGUCAGUGGAGGCUCUACUUGGGCCGAGAUAUCUCUCCAUCUCUGCGCAUACUGUCUAAAAGUUUCAGACGUCUUUUUCUCCAUCAUUUGUAGAGUCAUUCGGUCAGGCACCAUAUCGGAUACGUGUUUGUACUGUUCACAGAAUGCUGACACUAAAUCCUUCUAUGAUAGGAUCUUUUCUCUAUUAAGCUGAUUAUACCAUCGAAGAGCUUAUCCGACUAAAAUAUCCUGAAAGAAGUGUAUGAGGAGCUUAUCUUCAUUCACAUAGCCGGUCAUCUUCCGACAAAACAUGAUGAGAUGCGUUCUUGGACAUCUCGUUCCGUCGUAUUUUUCAAAAUAUGGUGCCUUAAACUUCAGAGGUAGAACCAGAUCGGGCACCAGAUUGAGCUCCUUGGCACUUAAUGCAGAGAAGACUUCAGUGCCUUCGAUUGCCUUGAGCCUUUCUUCCAAACUCCUAUACUUGUCCCAAACAUCAUGAUCGUCUAAUUUCGACUUGGCUAUCUCUACUAGGUCAACCAAAUUUGGAAUAUUGGGAUCAACAGGAUUAACUCUGGGGUUUGAUACAGAUAUACCUUGCCCUGGACGAGUAGGUAGUACAUGUCGUUGCUCCAGGCCUACAGGUUCCCAUUGAGGACAUCCUCUUUGCGUUACAUGAACGUGAGGUGGGGUGAAUCUUGGGGGAUAAAAUGGAUCCUGAUCAUGAUUAACUCUCAACUGAGGUUCCAUAAUGUCAGGAAUCUGCAUAAGUCCCUUCCCUUUAACUAAAGUUGACAUCAUCUCCAUCAUUUUGGCUAUUUGAUCCUUUUGCUCGAGUCAUUCCUCUCGAGAUCUUACCAUCAGAUCUCUCGUUUCCUGCUAUGAUUUAGCCAUUCCAAUUUUCUUUGGGCCCUUUUCAUUCUUUCAAUUCUCUCAUUGAAUUCGGCCUCCAUAGUUCUAGCUCUUAGCCCCGUCUUAUACGAAUGGCGUGAUUCCAGACUCGUAGCGUCACAACUGUAGAUCAUAUGGUUUCAGCCUCAGUGAAUGAUUAAGGGACAUGUACAUACAAUGAAUGGAUGAAUGAAUAAAUGUCAAAUGAAUGUUAGUCAUGAAUGAAUAUGCAAAAAUUUGGUGUUAAUUUCAAGAUAGCCCCUAUUUAGGCAUUUCCUUAAUCAAAAGAGUCUAUUACACAACGUUUCGGUCAUUCGUGUAAUUGACUCCUCCAUCAGAAACCCGUUUUUGGCAACCAAUCUCUAAUCAGCACAUUCCUAACAAGAUGCCUAUGAUGCAUGAUGAAAAAUAGAAAUACAGACAAACAACCUUGGUUAGCACAACACAUAUGAACAGAGAAAAACUGUGGAAAAUCUAACAAAUUAAGCUACUUGGUCCAAUGGACUCGAUUCCCUUGCAUAGAAAGCGUAAAUGUAAAAGAAACAGAAGGUAAGAUGUGUUUUUCCCGUGUACUUAUUUCGGUGACGAGUAAACAGACAAAGGUUAGGCAUGGCUCUAGUUAGGUGGCUUGUACGGUUCACUAUAUGCGGUUUUGGCUCUAGAUAGGUACUCGAAUUGUCCAUACUGUCAUCUACUAAGAUUAGUAUAGAGCCUCGGUCAUUGCCCAUCAUAGGCUUUCGAGUCCAAUUCGAGGGAUUACAUUUACUUACGCCUAUGCGGAGGGACAAGUUAACUCACAAAAGCAUAAGUCAUAUAUAACCCAAAAGUAUUCACUAGCCUGUGCGGAGGGACAAGUUAACUCACGAAGGCAUAGCGUUUACUUUCACUUACACGGACGGAGCCCGGGUAUAAAGCUCAGGUUAUGCAAAAUGCAAGUGUACGGUGUGUGGGGAGAAAGUUGCAAACCUUUUCGCUUUAUUUAAAACUAAAAACUAGAAUCGUAAAAACUUAAAGCUGAAAAACGGAAGAUAAACAAGUUAGGAAAAUAUUUACAACACGAUACAAAUGAUUCUUCGAAAUUUAAAAUUUUAAGGAUCACGACUAAAUAUGUUUUUGAACAAGGAAUUUUCGCAAAUUUUGACAACACAUGCUUAACUCGACUCGACUCUCAAAAAGGAUUCCCCAGUGGAGGCGCCAGCUGUAGCGACGUAAAAAUUUACUUUGGUCGCUAAUUGAGGUGACUUAUUGGAAAUUUGAAAAACCGACUUUCGAUUUUAUUAAAAAAAAUAAGUCGCCACCGAUCUUUUUUCUAGGUGUGAUCGGACACCUAAUAAAUCAUCUUUUUUGAAAAGAAAAUUUAUUCUUGAACAAAAAUGAAGGCCAAAUUUGGGUCUACGCGAAAAUCCAGAGAAAAAUAGGGUUCGGGAGUCGGUUAUGUGCGAGGAAGGUAUUAGCACCCUCGCGACGCCCAAAAUUGGUAUCUUUAUUAAACAAGUGUUGUCUUGAUUUUCAAAAAUACGAAUUCAAUUUGACAUCUAAUCGUGAUUCGAUCAAAAAAUGAGAAUUUCUAGUUUUCGGUUUAGAAGGGUGUUCCGUUUUUAACACGAGCCGACGAAUUUCACCCAACAUAGCGAUGAAAUCGAUGACUUAAUGUUAAAUCGGUUCAAUGCUUUAUUUAUUAAAAUUAAUAAAAAAUGAAUAAAAAUCUUUAAAGUAGUGAACAGCAAAAUGAUAUAAAUGGGCGAGAAACAAAAAAUCAAAGAGUUACAAAUACAUCGAAACAAAAUAAAUAUGAUAAUAAUUUUAAAGACAAUAACAAUGUAUGCGAUAUUAAAUAUGAUAACAAUAGCGUUAAACGCGAAAUAAAGACGAACGUAUAUACAAACACAUAACAACAAGUGCACUGACGUAAACGUAAUAUUAAAAAUACUAAUAAUGUUACCUACAUACCUACGUAUAUAUAUUUAAAAUAUGAACAUAAUAAUAGUAUUACAAAGUAUAUACAUAGUAUGAAAACAUAUUCAUAGUAUAAUGUUAAAAAUACAUACAUAAUAUAUAGUUAUAAAAAAAUAUAAUAUGUAAGAAGAAAAUGAUAUAGUAUUCGAAAUAUAUACAUGAUAUAUAAAAAUACAAUAUUAAAAAGGUAUAUAUAUACGUAAUAUAUAAAAACGUAUAUAUAAUAUAAUGUUAGAAUAUUUACAUAAUACAUACAUACAUAAUAAUAAUGCUUUGAAAUUCUAAGACAUUUGCUCGUAUUUUGAAAAUCUUAAAAACUUAGGAGGGUACUUGACUAUUCGAACUCAACGAGAAAAAUUGCAACCCAAUAAGUUAGGGCACUACUUUUCUCGAAGCCUCCAAACAUCAAGCAUUGCCUUUUAUUUUUUAUUUUAAAAAAACCUUGAAAUAUUAUUUUAAAUGACGUUUUAGGAUGACAUAUUAAUGCAUCAUGAAGCAUAGAUGUACAAAAUAUUCUAACAUUUCCAUACAAACAUAAAUAAUAUCAUUAAGACAAAACUAAAUAACAUGAACAUACAUUUAAUGAAAAAAAUCAUACUAGGGUAAAUAUAAGAUAAUAAACAAAUAAAAAUAUGAGUAAACUAAAAGAAAAACAUAAUACAUGCAAAAAUUAUACAACAAUAUAUAUCAUAAAAUAGCACAUAAAAGAAAUAAUUAAACAUAGCAUAUAAAAAAUGAAACUAUGCACAAAUAAGAUAAAUGACAUACACUAAAAAAUGAAUAAAUAGAAAAUUUACAAAUUAUAAAAAUAUAAUGCAAUAGUUCAAAAUACAUGAAAUGAUACUAAAAUAUAUAUACAUGCAUAGAAAAUAUAUAUUUGAAAAUAAACUAUAUAAAAAAGUUAAAUAUUAUAAUAUAUAAAAUACAUAAUCAAAUGUAUAAAAGAUAGGAAUAAAUAUACAUAUUUGAAAAAUGAAGGAAUUAAAAUAAAAAAAAGGUUGAAAAACUAAGAUAGACGAAGAAUAAAAUAAGAACAAACCACAGAGAGUAAGAACGCAAGAGGGAGAGAAAUUUGAGUGAAUGCUCUCAAGAAUUCUUAUUGCCUUCCAAAACUUAAGUCAUUUACAAUGAAGGGAGAGGCCUCUAUUUAUAGUUGAGCCUCCUCAAAUCCAACGGUAUAGAUCAAUUACAUCAACGGUUAAGAUUAAAGGAUAUCUACAAAUUAAAUCUCCAAGAUUACAAGAUCAUAUCUUCAAGAUUGCAUAUCAUAUCUAAGAUUGUAUCAUAUCUAAGAUUGUAUAUCAUAUCUAAGAUUGCAUAUCCUUAAAGAUUAUAUUUUCAUAUGAGUCAAGCUUAUAGAUGGACCUUAAAUCUUUUCAAGUAAUGGGCCAUUCCGAUUGGGCCAAAUUAUAUGUUUGUAAUUUGGUACUGGACUUAGACUUUGUUUUAUUUUUAUUUUUUUGGGGUUUAUUAUUUUAAAUACUGAAAUGGGCCGGGCAAAAUUGAGUGUCUACAGCUGCCCCUCUUUGCUCAUUGCUGUGUAACAGGAAUAGAGCAAAGACUAUAAAAGGACCAAUUUUGCCUGGGCUCACCGAGUCUUGAGUUCUUGAUCCUUGAUCUUCACUGCAACUCAGGAAGGCAAUAUCUGCUAUCUUUGAUCUGCUCCCCGUCUAAUACAGAGACGCCAAAUCUGUUAUCUUCGAUCUGCUCCCCGUCUAAUACAGAGAUGCCAAAUUUGCUUCUUCAAUCUGCUCCUUGCAAACUCAUGACUGUCAUGUUGUUAUCUUCGAUCUGCUCUCCGUCGAACACAAAGACGCCAAAUCUGUUUCUUCGAUUUGUUCCCUGACAAUACAGAGAUGCCAAAUCAUCUUAGAUUUUCUUUAACGUAAGCACGUGAAAGCCAAAUUAGCUAUGUCUUUUAUUUGCUCCUUGUAAGCACAAGGAGGCCAAACCAUCUUGGAUCUGCUUUAGUAUAAACAUCUGAAGGUUGGAUCAACUAUGUGCCUGCCCUCCAUCAAAGUGGAGAUGCCAGACUUCGAUUUGUUCUCUGACAAUACAGAGAUGCCAAAUCAUCUUAGAUUUGCUUCAACGUAAGCACGUGAAAGCCAAUCAGCUAUGUCUUCGAUUUGCUCCUUGUAAGCACAAGGAUGCCAAACCAUCUUGGAUCUACUUCAGUAUAAACAUCUGAAGUUUGGAUCUGCUAUGUGUCUGCCCUCCGUCGAAGUGGAGAUGCUAGACUUCGAUUUGUUCUCUGGCAAUACAGAUAUGCCAAAUCAUCUUAGAUUUGUUUCAAUGUAAGCACGUGAAAGCCAAAUCAGCUCUGUCUUCAAUUUGCUCCUUGUAAGCACAAGGAUGCCAAACCAUCUUGGAUCUACUUCAGUAUAAACAUCUGAAGGUUGGAUCUGCUAUGUGUCUGCCCUCCGUUGAAGCGGAGAUGCCAGACUUCGAUUUGUUCUCUGACAAUACAGAGAUGCCAAAUCAUCUUAGAUUUGCUUCAACGUAAACACGUGAAAGCCAAAUCAGCUAUGUCUUCGAUCUGCUCUCCGCCAAUACAGAGAUGCCAAAUCUGGUAUCUUCGAUCUGCUCUCUGAAAAUACAGAGAUGCCAAAUAUGCUAUCUUCAACUUGUUCCCUAUAAACACAGGGAUGCCAUGCUGAAAUCCUCGAUCUGCUUCGCUGUAAGCACAGGAGUGUCAGAUCUGUUAUCUUCGAUCUGUUCCCUAUAAACACAGGGAUGCCAAAUCUGCUAUCUUCAACUUAUUCCCUAUAAACACAGGGAUGCCAUGCUGAAAUCCUCGAUCUGCUUCGCUGUAAGCACAGGAGUGUCAGAUCUGUUAUCCUCGAUCUGUUCCUUAUAAACACAGGGAUGCCAAAUCUGCUAUCUUCAACUUGUUCCCUAUAAACACAGGGAUGCCAUGCUGAAAUCUUCGAUCUGCUUCGCUGUAAGCACAGGAAUGUCAGAUCUGCUAUCUUCGAUCUGUUCCCUAUAAACACAAGGAUGCCAAAUCUUGUUUCUUUGAUCUACAUUGCCCCAUAAAAGACAUAACCUGUAGAAUGCAUAUGAGUUCAUGUCUAAUAAUUAGGAUGCUAUGAUCGAAGUGAGUCAAAUUCUCCUAAUGCAAAAUGUUAUGAAUAUGACCCCUAUUUCGGACGUCAUUACUUAUUCCCUCAUCAAAGUUUUAUCUUGAUGAAUCAACUUAGUCCUAUUGUACCAUUCUCCAAAUGUUGUGACCCGCUGGAGAUGUUUAUGGAAUGAUCCUUUCUUAAGAUCAAUAUUGCUUAAAACGUCCAACCACCUUUUGGACUGAAGAAGAAAUUUCCCCGAGUACAUCCGACCCUCAAAUAUGGAAAUUCUUUAAACAAUUGUCUUGUUUCAGUUUCUUGUAUUAUCUAGAAAUUUCCAGAGUAAUAUGCAAAACUUUGUUUGUAAGGAUAUUUAGUUCAUCUAUCAUUAUUUUAAUGCAACAUACUUUAAGGAUAAUGGAAGAUGAAUUUAAUCUUGAGAAUAAUUAGAUUUGAAUAAAUUUGUCAAAAAUACAAAGGAAAUUAAUCUGAAAGCCUAUCUUUAAGAAGAAAAAGAAUCUAAAGAUAGCAAACAGGACAAAAGUUAGAUGCCCUAGAUAUCGCCGCUCGAGCGUUUAUAUGCCAGCUCCAUGAAGACUUUCUUGAAUUCAACAUGUGUUUAAAAUAUCCAAAGUACUUUGUUGAUGCCCCGAUAUGCAACGCGCUUCACUCUUCGUUGAAUCAGAUAUAGCAAGAUUAUCGUGUUCUCUUCAAAAUUUGAGCUGCCAUUUCGGGUUUUCAACUCAAAACCCCUUUGGUCACAAGGCGCCCUUUGCGGGUUUUCACCUUGGCCUCUCCAUUUUUCUUUUUUCUUUUUUUUUUAUUUUUUUCUCUUUUUCUUUUCUUUUUUUUUUUGAAAUAGAAGUCCCAAAAUGCCCUUUGCGGGUUUUCACAUUGGCUUCCCUUUUCCUUCAGACAAAGUACUCCUUGACCGAGUCCGAAUUCACUGGAUCAGAUAAAUUCUUCCUAUCUAUUUCUUGUCAAAAUCAGUGCACCUCUAGAGAAAGCCCUCUUCGCAACAUAUGGCCCUUCCCAAUUCGGCAUCCUUUUGCAUGGGAAGGAUCUCUUUCAACACAAGGUUUCUUUUAUGAAAUUCUUUUGGACGAACCUUCUUUGUCAUAAGUCCGUGUCAUCCAUUCUUAGUACAUUUGCUUAGGAUGAAUACUUUCAAGUUAAAUUUACUAGAGGUAUUCAAUUCUUGACUCCAUCAAAGCUUGGAGGAAAAAUCUUGAUUAAUAAACCCAUGAGAAAGGGAUUGCCCCAGCAGUAGUCCUGGUUGUUGUUUGUCAAACCCUACAAAAAGAUGGUUCAAUGAUUCUCAGCAGACAAGAAUGAAGUUGCUGACUUUAUCCUUCAACCUGAAAAGCUGAGGUACAGGGAUUACUCCCGGAACAUACAUCCCACCAUGACUCGAUGAUGUUUCUGAAGCAUCCCUAAUCUUUAUAAAUUGCCCCCAACUGUGAAGCUGCCAAAUGAGCGUAGCAAAUAGGAGCCACAACAAUUAUGGUUGUUGUGCUCCUUUGAUACAAAUAGGAUAGAGAAUGAACAAACUCUUGCAGAUCAUCAGCCGAAAACCCAGCCUGGUCUAUGAGAACAUGAUAGCGGGUCUGCCUCGUGAUUCCAAUCAUUCCAGCAUGGGUACCAAGGUAAAAAUCAUUGUUCUUUGGAUGGCAUACUUUGUUGUCAAUGGAAAUACCAUGUAGCACAUUGUCAGGAGAUCCCUGUUGAAAAAAACUUGGUAUGAUGGUUUUUCGUACAACAACAACAACAAUCUUUAGGGUUCCACUUCUCGUCAAGAAACUUGCAAGCCUCAAUAACUUGAUCAAAACUUGAUUGAAUUGAGACUCGCUAACCCCAUUCCUGAAAAUAAUGAUUUGAUCAGGCUUUCUCUUCCCUGAACUUGUAUAGAAGUCUAAGAGAGCUUCCUUCAUGAUACCGUCAUCCACUUUGUCAGAAACUGGUUUUGAAGAAAGAAUCUAUCAUUUUAAGCUUCAGAGACUGUGAACAGCCUGAUGCCCCAUAGCUGGAAAUCAAAUGGCCACCGCCUGGAGCUAACCAUUGCUGCUAUUGACGGCACAUCAGACUGCCCAGGAAAGCCAAACAAUGCACCCAUUCCAAGGAUGAUGGUUGGAACCUUUGAAAUAACUGGAAUUAAAGGUGUUUUCCCCAGCGUAAGCAUAGAGAGUAGGCGGUAGUUUCUUAUGCCAAUUUUUACCUGUCUAGGUUAUCUUCUGUAAUUUGUUUUUUUUCUUCUUUUUCUUUUCUUUUGGCAACCUUUGUUGUACUGUGGUAUGGGGCAUUAUCUUUGAAAAGACUGCAAACUUUUGGCAUUGUGUAGUUAUAUAUAAUCUUUUUUUUAGAAAUGGAUGACUUUUGACUUUGUAAUAUUGGCAUAUAAAGCUAUCUCCCCGUCUUAAUGGAGUAGUUGACGUCCACAAAGAUGAGUCAUUGUCAGCUUGAAACUUUUGAUGAGCUCGGGCCCAUAACAUACAUGCCUCAUAAGUCUUGACUCCUUUAAAUUUGGCAUUCAUUGUACAACUGAUGCGAUCCCUUUCCAUAGUGGACCAACAGUGCCCCAAAACCUCAUAUUUAUUCUAGCAAUUGCAAAUCCUCCUGCAUGCGUCUUUGGACCACAUUUUUGAAUUCCCAUAAUAGUCUCAACAAGGUCUUGUUUUGUCUCCUCAGCUAAUUCCAAUUUCGCAAUCUUUCUUUUCUCUAAGGCUAUAUUUCCUACCACCACUUCAUGGGGUAAAAGCCAUUUUCAACAAAUUCAGAAACAAGUCACAAUUUCUGUCACCUUCAAAGUACUGAGAUUCCUCUAAACACAUAUCGCACUCAAAAAGAACUCUGAAUCUGUAGUAUUGUUGCCCGUGUCAUUGAUAUCUAGGGAUCUAUGAUAGGCACACAAAAGAAUAUACAAGGAUUUCAAGAAUGACUAUUUACAUGAAAUGAAAAUUUAUAAAGAAUGUCAAAGGUCAAAAGAAUCAGAGUGAAAGAAUAUUUACUCGGAUAAAUAAUAAAAGUAUGUUUUAUUGAAAAUAAAAAAAGUCUGAACAUGAGCUGACUUCUCAAAAGAAAUCUCAUUACACCUAGGCUUUAGAGUAACAAGAGUGUUCUGAAUAUUACUCCGUAAAAUUCCUAAAGAUUACAAGAAGUUCUUUUGCAGUCCAAUUGUUUAAAGAACUUCCCGGUUCGUAAGGGUGAAUGCCCUCAAGGUUUCUUUGUUCAGUUCCUUCCUCAUGUAUGACAUUAAUAAGAUGAUUUUCAUUUCCAAACACCCCCUUCUCUGGGUAAGCUAUCCCUCCUGACACAAAAGUCAGGGAUAUGUAAGGGAACGUCGUUAAUUCCCAUUCAAUUUCUUUUUCACUCAGCCGUGAUCCUCUUCUCUCUCUCUUUUUUUCUUUCACUUUUUAAUAACUUUAACUAAUUAGGGUCUUUUUAUAAUUUUGAAUGUAAAUGAUGCAAUGAAAUGCUAUAAGAUGCAAAUGAAUGCAAAAGGUAUUGAUCUCAAUUCAAUCUCAUUUAGAAAACUUUAUUUAGAAAAAGAAUAACUUGACAUAUAAAUGGAUUACAAAUACGCUUUCGCCCUAAUGCCCGAAGUUUUAACUCUAUCUAAUAAAAGGGCUAACUCUCGUCCUAUAUCCAAUGAUGAUCCGUACAUUAGACUCAAUGCAUCAACUCGUAUUGCCAAAUCUUGUACAUAUUCGGCAAACUCUCAAAUCUGGGCUACGGCUUCACCAAUAACGUGAUCCCUUUCUCUGACCUGUCCUCUAGACUGAUGAAGCUCUCCUUUUAGAUAAUCUUCUCGCGCCUCGAGCUACUCAAUCCGAAGUUCACCAUUAUGCAAUGCCACUUCCAAAUCUUGCACCUUACUUUUUAGCUCCUUUAACUCGACCGUAGGAUCAUGAUUUCGAUGCCAACGAAGGGAUCUUCCAAGCUCAGUUACCUUGGUCUUCAACCUUUUAUUUUCUUCCUCUAAUGCCAAAUUCUGCGGCUGCAUCUCUUGGUACUUCCACUCCCAAUACUCGGCUCUAACUUUUUCCUCUUGGACCUCUUUCUGCAACUAAACCGAAGACCCUCCUAUUCUCGUUCUCCUCAAGGAUACUUGUGCCUUUUUGUAAUGCUCUUUCAAAUCAUCUCGAUCAUCCUUGAUCUUCCUCUCUUUCUCGACCUCCAUCUUUUGAACAUCGACGUCUAAGCUCAAGUACAUCUGUUCUUCUUCAAGCUUUGCUAUCCUUUUCUCAAGCUCUAAGUUCUUUCUCUCGAACUCUUACUUCAUAAUUUCUAACUCCGAAGGCAUCACUUGCAAAUAUUCCUCUAUCGGUUGAGCUUCUUCCACGUUUGGCUUAGGGAUGUUAUCAUUAAUCCUUCUACCUCUCCACUCAACGUACUCCGGAGUCGUAGCAGAGCUAAUAACUACUCCCUUUAAUCGACAAGUCUUGUUCCAAGCACUAGAGAUCUCACUGACUUUCUUCUUGUAGUCAGCUCCUCUAUACAUGAACUCACUCUGAACCAAACUGUAAGUUGUCGGUAUGAACUGUCUCAAUCCAUGUUGCCUCAGCAUAAGCAAAGGGGCAUAACCAAUGGCACCCCAAAUUCCCAAUAGAGGGACCCAAUCAAAACUGCCAUAUCGGUAAAGAAUCUCACCAGGAAUCAUCUAUGGAGCCCUCCACUCUACGUCCUUUAACUGCAGAUUCUGAAGUAGCGCUAUCCAACUUUUUUCAGGAACAUCAACUUUCCUAGAUGAAGCUACUAUGUCCUUCAACGGGGAGUAAUCCUCAAAGAAGACCCGACAAACCACCCUAUCUAUCAAACGGAAGUGACUGUAGAACCAAGCUAAAAGUAACUGAACACAACCAACAAACCUGCCCGUACUGGCCCUCCUACAUGCAUUCAAUGACCUGAAUGUCUCCGCCAAAAUUGCAGGAAUAGGAGUGACCCGCUUGCUAAGUCGAUGGAAGAGAUCCGUGGUCGCCUUAUCCACAUAUCCCAAGGCCUUGGGGAAAACCAUCAAUCCGUAUCAGUUUAAGGCAAAAAUGUCUACCCUCUGUCUAGAUCAGAUCUUUCAAAGCUCUCCACGGAAUGCACUUACUCUCACCCUUUUCCUUAAUUCUAGCCAUGAUCCACUGCUCGCUCAUCCCCGUAAUGGUCAUCAGCUUCUUACCAAAGGUUGGGACACAAGCAGCUCAAGAAUAAAUCCUAUCACACUGAAAUCUAAGACACCGAAGUAAGGCUGUGUAUUCCUCCACAGUAGGCAUUAAAUCUACCUUCCCAAUGGUAAAACAACUGUAUGCUGGGUUCCAAAACUGAGCGAGAGCUCGAAAAAAGUUCUCAUCAACCUAAAUAUCAAACAAAUAGAGCAAAUCUCCCUACUUACCGUAGAAUAAUUGCUUGGUCUCAUUGCCCCAUUGAUCCCAAAUCGUCUUAAGCUCUUACAGAUUAUUCUGUGUGACACUGAUGAGCGUGCAGUCUGACAACUCCGACAUAUAUCCCACAGUUAUGCUAUCCCCUUUUCCUAGCUGAGUUUUCUCAGACCAUCUAUGGACGUUAACGUUGCCCUCCACUCUAUCAAGAAGUUCGGUCUCCAUAAUAAAACUUUCUAACUUAGAAACUGACCGUGAAUCGAUACCUUUUAAAUGCGAAAUGACAUGCAAUGAAAAAAAGAAACAGUUAGUAUCACAUAAUAUUAAUAAACUUAAGAACGAUAUGUGAAGGUAAUAUCUAAAGUAUAAUUCUAACUAAGUUGAGCUCUUACGGUUUUUCUAUAUGAGGUUUUAGUUCUAAAGUUGAGGUACCUGAACCAGCAGAUUCCUUGAUUCUCACCCAUUAUAGGCUCAUUUGAAUCGAGUUCAGUUCAGGGGAAUACAUUUCCCUAUGGCUACACGGAGAUGAAAAUCUCACGAAACCAUAGGUACGGAUGUAUCCCGAAAGUGAUCCACUAUCCUGCACGGAGGCGAAAACCUCACGAAGGCGUAGUUUCUCACUCCCACUUAAGGGUGUGACCACAACGGUCAUGCAAAUGCAAUGCGUAUCAGAAUAUAUAACAUAUGCAAUAAUACAAACACAUGUAAUGCAAAGAGGAUUGAAUUUUAAAAUUUUUCAAAUUUUCGACAUUAAGACAAAAGGUAAUCAAUUAUACGGCUUGACUCUCUUAUUAGUCCCCAGUGGAGUCGCCAAGCUGUCGAGACUAUUUUUUUAAAUCGAGUUUUGGAAAAUGGGAAUCGACUUUAAGAAAAACGAAAAUGGGAGUCGCCACCAAUCUUUUUAGGUGUGAUUGGAUCACCUUAUAAAAUGUUUUGUUUUAAAACAUUAAUUUUGGUCUACGAAAGUCGAGAAAACGGAUUCGGGAGUCGGUUACGUACGAGGAGGGAUUAGCACCCUCGUAACCCCCAAAAAUUGGUACCUAAUUAAUUAUCAAAUAUCUUUAAGAUCGGAAAUUUAAAAAUUUUAAGAUGCAAUCCUCUUUAAAAUAUUUUGGUUUUUGAAAAUUGGGGUUCACUUGUAUCAAAAUAUUGAUACUAAGUUAGCCUUUUUGGAAAUCCCUAUCUCGAAACUACAAAACGCCACAUCCAGUAAGUUAGGACACAACGCUUUGAAAUUCUAAGACAUUUGCUCGUAUUUUGAAAAUCUUAAAAACUUAGGAGGGUACUUGACUAUUCGAACUCAACGAGAAAAAUUGCAACCCAAUAAGUUAGGGCACUACUUUUCUCGAAGCCUUCAAACAUCAAGCAUUGCCUUUUAUUUUUUUUUUAAAAAAACCUUGAAAUAUUAUUUUAAAUGACGUUUUAGGAUGACAUAUUAAUGCAUCAUGAAGCAUAGAUGUACAAAAUAUUCUAACAUUUCCAUACAAACAUAAAUAAUAUCAUUAAGAUAAAACUAAAUAACAUGAACAUACAUUUAAUGAAAAAAAUCAUACUAGGGUAAAUAUAAGAUAAUAAACAAAUAAAAACAUGAGUAAACUAAAAGAAAAACAUAAUACAUGCAAAAAUUAUACAACAAUAUAUAUCAUAAAAUAGCACAUAAAAGAAAUAAUUAAACAUAGCAUAUAAAAAAUGAAACUAUGCACAAAUAAGAUAAAUGACAUACACUAAAAAAAUGAAUAAAUAGAACAUUUACAAAUUAUAAAAAUAUAAUGCAAUAGUUCAAAAUACAUGAAAUGAUAAUAAAAUAUAUAUAUACAUGCAUAGAAAAUAUAUAUUUGAAAAUAAACUAUAUAAAAAGGUUAAAUAUUAUAAUAUAUAAAAUACAUAAUCAAAUGUAUAAAAGAUAGGAAUAAAUAUACAUAUUUGAAAAAUGAAGGAAUUAAAAUAAAAAAAAAGGUUGAAAAACUAAGAUAGACGAAGAAUAAAAUAAGAACAAACCACAGAGAGUAAGAACGCAAGAGGGAGAGAAAUUUGAGUGAAUGCUCUCAAGAAUUCUUAUUGCCUCCCAAAACUUAAGUCAUUUACAAUGAAGGGAGAGGCAUCUAUUUAUAGUUGAGCCUCCCCAAAUCCAACGGUACAGAUCAAUUACAUCAACGGUUAAGAUUAAAGGAUAUCUACAAAUUAAAUCUCCAAGAUUACAAGAUCAUAUCUUCAAGAUUGCAUAUCAUAUCUAAGAUUGCAUAUCAUAUCUAAGAUUGUAUCAUAUCUAAGACUGCAUAUCAUAUCUAAGAUUGCAUAUCCUUAAAGAUUAUAUUUCCAUAUGAGUCAAGCUUAUAGAUGGACCUUAAAUCUUUUCAAGUAAUGACCAUUCCGAUUGGGCCAAAUUAUAUGUUUGUAAUUUUGUACUGGACUUGGACUUUGUUUUAUUUUUAUUUUUUUUGAGUUUAUUAUUUUAAAUACUGAAAUGGGCUAGGCAAAAUUGAGUGUCUACAAUAUAUAGUUAUAAAAAAAUAUAAUAUGUAAGAAGAAAAUGAUAUAGUAUUCGAAAUAUAUACAUGAUAUAUAAAAAUACAAUAUUAAAAAGGUAUAUAUAUACGUAAUAUAUAAAAACAUAUAUAUAAUAUAAUGUUAGAAUAUUUACAUAAUAUAUACAUACAUAAUAAUAAUGUUGAAAACACAUACUAAUAUUAAUUACAAUACUAAUAUUACAUAAAGAUAUACCUAUAUAUAUAUAUUAAAGAUAUACACCUAUAUAAUAAAGUAUAUAAAUAAUAUGAUAUUUAAAAAAUAUAUAUAUACGUAAUAUAUAAAAAUAUAAUAUUAAAAAAAUAAUAUACAUAAUAUAAGAGUAUUAAAAUAAUAAAUAAAAAAUAAUAAAGAAAUAAGUAAAAAUAAUAUACAUAAUAAUAUAGUAAGAAAAUAAUAUAUUUAUAAUAAGUACUUAAAAACAUCUAUAUGUAUAUACGUAUAAUAAUGAUAAAAAAAAUAAUAGUGAAAAUAAUAAAUAUAAUAAUAAAUAUAAUAAUAGAAACGAUAAUACUAUAUAAAAAUUAUAUAUAUACAUAUAUAUAAUAAAAUAUAUAUACUAAUAUUAAUAAUAAAUAUAAUAUUAUAAUACUAAUAAUAAUAAUAUGAAAUUAAAGUAACUAAAAAUAAUACCGUAUGCAUAUAUAAUGAAAAUAUACAUUAAUAUAUAAAAUAAUAAUAAUAUUGAUAAUAUUAAUAAUAUUAGAAAUAAUAAUAUUUAAUAAAGAAACAAAAAUAAAUAAGAAAGGACUAAAAUUGAACUAAUAACAAAGUUUUGGGGCAAAUUUAAAAGGAAAUAAAGGGGAAAGAACUAAAUUACACGUGCAAACAAACAAGAGGGACUAGAUCGGGCAAUAAACCAUUCAGCCUCAAACGCACAGCAGUAGAGGGACCAAAAUGAAACAAAAAUAAAAUUUCUGGGCAAAAUUAAAAAUACAAAAAAUUGAAUUUCGAAACUAUAAAAAAGCGGAAGGGCUAAAAGUGCAAUUAGCCCUUCCGUAAAAAACACGCGGAUCCUAAGCGGGUAUAGGUUGGGUCGGACCUGGUCGCAUCAAAACGAUGUCGUUUUGGGGUUAAAAGGCAGCUCCCAAAACGACGUUGUUUUGAAGGGCUAUUUAAAUCCAAUUUUUUUAAAAAAAUUCAUUCUUCUCCUAUAAAAAAAAUUCUCUUCUCCUCUCAUCUUCCUCUGCAGAGACCCCCCACGCCGGUGAAGACUCCGGCCUGGCGCCUGCGCCGGCCACCAUACACGGUGGUUGGAAAUGUAUUUUUUUUGCUUCUUUUUUCUUUUUUUUAAAAAAACUUAUUAAUAUAUCUUAUAUAUAUACAUUGAAUACAAAUAAAAAUAAAAUAUUUAUGAAUAUAUACGUAGUUUCGAAAGAAAAGAAAAAAGAAAAAGAAAAAUCAACAACCUUUCGUGUUUUCUAUUUGUUGUCUUGUUUAUGUGCUUGAAUCUAGUGUUUUGAUAUUGCGAAGAUCGAUUUUGUACUCUAGAAAUCUAUUGUUUGUAUUGAUGAAAGAAAAAUCCGAAUAGAUUCAGCCCCCUCCCCCCUUUUUAUAAUAUUUUGUUUGGCUUUUUAUAGCCAUUUUACAUCAAUUUUUUUCAAUAUUUGUUGUCUUUUCUUUCUUUGAUUUUGCAGGUGCAAGUGGUGGUGGAGCAGGUGGCGGUGGGUGAUGGUGGCAGAGUCGUCAGAGGCAAGUGGGGAGAGGGUGGCUAGGGUUUUAGCUUUUUUUGAAACCCUAAGUCUAGAGUUGGGUCAAAAAUUGGGCCUCUUAGGUUUGGGCUAGGGUUUAAUUUUGGGUUUGGGUGGUUGGGUUUAGGUUAUUUAUUUGGGCUUCUGUUGGGUUUUGAUGUAAAUGGGUUUAAGUGAGUCUGAUGGGUUAAGGGUUUUGGGUUGGUUUGAUUCAAUUUGAGUUUGGGCUUUGGUAGGUCAAAAUUGGCCUGUAACAAAUAUAAUUUAUAUAUUUUUGCGUUGAUGCUGUUGAAUUUAUAUGGAAUUAUUUAUAGUGAUAUUGAUUAUCUUAGGAAUUUGAACAACCAUACCUAUUGAUAACUGAUAAUUAAUGUCUAACUAUUUAUCUUAAUUCAUUUUGGAUGACUGUAAAAUUAUAAUAUUAUUAUAAAAUUAUUUAAGGGUGGAAAAUUCAAAAAAUAAUUAAUAAUUUAUAAUAUACAUCUGGAAUUAAUAUGGACAUAUAGUUGUCCAAAUUCAUUUACAUCCGAACAAUUAUUUGUUCAAAUUCAUUUUGGAUAAAUACAAAACUAUAUAGUUUUAGAAACUAUAAUAAAUUAUAAUUUUUAAUAAUUAUUAAGAAAAUCUACCUAAUGAAAUACCCUAUACCCGGCUCGGUCGCCAAACUUGAAUAUCAGGAUAUCACACCACAUUCAUACAUCACACAUAUUAUAGAUUGUGUCCCAUUAUUAGGCAACACCCUUUUAUUUUAGAAUAUGCACGAGUUUUAAGUCAAACUUACUUUAAUCAUCAUAAUACAUGCUAAACAUACAUCAAAUAGACCUACAAUAAUAACUAAACAAGCAUAGGGACCAGUUAGCAAAAUUCCAAAACAAGUCACGUAGGUAUCGAUACUGAAACAAAUGUAUCGAUAUUGAAACAAAGGAAUCGAUAUUUCUUUUAAAUGGUAUCGAUACCAAACAACAUUUUGUUUCUCGUCUAAAAAUCAAAUCAUAGAAUAUAUCAAUACCUUUAUUUAAGUACCGAUUAUUUUACCUCAAGUAUCGAUACUCGAGAUAAGGUAUUGAUACCAAAUUACCAUACUGACUUCCUGCACAUCGAAAUAUCACAGAGGUGUCAUUUUUAAAAACCGAAUAUCGAUGCCUCUACUCCAGACCACAAAGAUACAAUAGUUGAAGGAAAAUAACUCAUUCUAACUAACAACUAUUCAACAUGCAAAUUUUACCUCAUCAAACCAUCAUCAAAACUACCAUAACAACGGUUCAGUCAUCGAAGACAUGUCUGAGCAAGGAAUUAACAUAACAAGUUCCAAGUCUAUAAAUCCUAAGAUCAAUUAAGCUAUGAAAACUUUUAAAACAUCAUGGCAAUAUUUAUGCAAUAAAUCUACAACAUUAUUCAACGUCCAUCGACUAUACAUACAAUUCAUGGCACUUCAAUAUAGUAAAUAUUCAAACCAAAACAAUAUCAGUGAAAUAAUUAUAACAUCCAUCAAAAGUGCUAAAAAACUAAACCCAUAAAAUGUAACGCCCCAAUUUUCGAGAAUUCUGUGAAUGUUGGCAUAGGUUUAAUUAAGCUAGUGGGCCUCUAGAAAGCCCAAACUUAAGAUAGAACCCGACAAUUUUAGUUAAUUUUUGUUCCAUAAGAAAAAGGGGGUGAAAUUAUGAAAUAGAACCUAUGUAAAAAUGUUUGAAAAUGCUAUAGGCUAAAUUGAAGUGGCCAAAUAAAUAGGAAUGCAAAAUAGGAGGAUUUGCAUGACAAACCUCCCAUUUUACAUGAAGUGGCCAGCCAUCAUGUUGUUGUAGACAAAAUGUGCACUUGAUAUCCAUAAUUUAUGGUACAAAUUGAUACAGAUUGAUAAUAGGUUAGGUAAAUGUUCCAUGAUAAUAGGUUAGGUAAAUGUUCCAUGAUAAUGGGUUAGGUAAAUGUUUCAUGAUAAUGGGUUAGGUAAAUGUUUCAUGAUAAGAAUUUCAUGUCUUUUGUAUUAAAGAAUUAAAUGGAUGAAAUAUGAGGUUUUAUUAAAAGAAAAAGGGGUGAAAAGAACAAAGUUUUGUCCAUCUUUGUUCAUCAUAGCUGAAAGUUAGAGAAGAGAAAAGAGAGGAGAAAGCUAUUGAGUAUUCGGUCAUUAGGAGGAGGAAAAUUGAAGGUAAGUUCUUGGUACCUAGCUUCUAUUUUGAGGUUCAUGAGUUCUUCUUGAUUCUACCUUAACUCUUGAAGUAUAUUUUGAUUUUUAGUUGUGUUGUGAGCAUUUAGUCAUGAAUUAAAAUGAAGGAAAUGGUUGUUGUUUCAUGUUCUUUUGAUGAAAAAUGGAAGAUAGGUGAAGUUGAGCCAAACAAAUGAGCAUGCAUGUGCGUUAGAUGCUAAAGGGAAAAAUCGGCUAACAUGUUGUGCUUUAAAAUGAUGACAUGGAGAUUAUACUUAAUUAAAAUCAUAGAUAUGUGAUGAUUGAUUGGUGAUAUACAUGUUUAAAUAACAAGCAUGCAAGUUAUGUGUGAAAGAGUGAUUUGGUAAUAAAUCUGCUUGGGACAGCAGCAGUAACGUGACUUUGGAAAAUCACCAUAAAUUGUAGGAGAUGAGUUAGAAGCUACAUAAAUUAUGUAAUUAAAUCUUAAUGAGUCUAGUUUGAAAUGGAAUAAACGAGAACAUAUUUUGAAUUCUGUACAAUGAGAAAUUUGAUUCGUAAUGAAGAGUGGUCAGAUUAGUCAAACAGUGAAACAUGGGAAAAUUUGAGAAAAAUCUGGUAUUGAUUGGCCAAACCAAAAAUUCUGAAAAUUUUAUGGAUAGAAGAUAUAUGAGUCUAUUUUCAGGGAAAAUUAACGGAACUUGAUUUGGAGUUUCGUAGCUCCAGUUAUAAAUGAUUUAGUGACUGUUGCUCAGGAAGACAGCUUGCAGUGAAAUUAUGAUUAUGUGGUAAACAUUGACAAAAAUUUGUUAAUGAGUUGCUUAUUGAUUUCUUAUAAGCUUACUAUGAUCUGUAGGUGUGGUUGGCCGAAUAUUGUAAGGGGUUAAUACGUAGUUUGUAUUUGAAUAGUUAGAUUAACGUGUUAGUAAUCCAAUUGUAGGCGGUUCGUGUGUGGAUCUCGUCAGCAUAUCGUCGCAAACAAGUGUGUAACUAACACCCUCUUUCUUAGUCUAGAUCGGCAAAAGUCGAAAAGCCGAAAUGCCGAAAACCGGUAUUUUGUAGAUUUGCGAGUGUGCGAAUGCUCGUGAGGUAAAUCGAUUAAUGUUUUUGGUAAGCUGCAAUGUUUGGACUGCAAAGUGCAUAAUUUCUGUGCCCUCGAUAUUUUUGGGCUUAAUGGGCCAAAAUUCGAAUGAUGGGCCAACGGGCCCAAUUCGGUAAGAACCCUUGGUAGUGAUUCUGUUAGUACGUGAAAGGUAGGAAUAUGCAUGAAAAAUCCUAAAAUAGAUAAAUUACUGAAAUACCUUUAAAAGUGGAAAUUUUACAGUUUUACCCCUAGGAGAUAAAUUACCGAAAUACCCCUAGGGUUAAAUUGACCUAAAUGUAUGUUUGACUGUUGCUAUUUACUGCAUGCCAUGUUGUUAUUAUCUGAUGCAUGGGACUGGGAUAUUGACGGAGGAAGUACUGAAAGUGGCUUGUCCACGUACUGGAGGCUUUGCCUCAAUUUACUGUUAACUGAGCAGCAAGGCUGCAACUGUGGAGUGUUGGGCUGGGUGGGUUGAGCUAUUCCCCACAUGGAGUGUAUGGCUGGUACGGGUGGAGUGUAGUGGUUGAUGGGUUGAGUAGUCUCCCCAAAUGGACUUGCAUAUGUUUACUGAUGUUGCAUGUAUUUUGAAAUGGGCCUAUGGGCCAUACUGUUAUCUGAAUAAGGGGCUCAGGCCCAGUUUAUUGUAAUCUGAAAAGGGCUCUGGCCUAGUACCACUGUUACCUGAAUGGGCUUAGGCCCAAUAGGCUUGAGCUGACUUGGGCUUUGAAUGGGUUUUCUUUACACACUAAGUUUCCCCAAACUCACCCUUUUAUUUUCAUCCACGCAGGAAAUCCCCAACCAUAGUGGGCUUGGAGCUGUGAGGGAAUUCGAAGUGGCCACCCGUUCUGAAAGUUUGAUUUUCUUCUGGUGAACUGGACAUCCUUUUAUUUACGUUUGAAGUUUUGGGUUUUUAAAUGUAAUAAGGCCGCUUAAUUAUUUUUAAUGGUUUUAAUAUGUAUUACUAAGAUAGGUAUUACUUAUUUUAACUGUUGAAAUUGGAUAGCUUUAGGGCGUGUUUUCAAAAACAACAGUUGAUUUCAAAAUAACACGACAACAAGCAAAGCUUCCGCAAUGAAAGUAUUUUCCAAAAUUAAUCACUUUUCCUAAAAAUAACUUAAUCAAAUCGGUUUCCUAGAAAUAUCUAUGACGUUAAGGUGUGGCAAUGGUGGUAUGCAUGUCUAGGAUUGGAUCCGAAGGGAGCUUGGUACUUAAGCGGUCCAAUGGACUCACCACCUCUUUUCCGGUUCAGUCGUUAAGGCCGAAUCGACGUGCCACUUUGAAGUCAAAAACCCGUGUUCCCUUUUUAGUGUUUUAAAAAGCCGACUUUUGUCAAACUAACCAAGUGAAUGGAAGCUGGGCACUAGGUAGGUAUCCAUAACAGAGGAGGUGAGCCAUGAAGGAUGCUUAAGUACCAAGCUCUCCGAUUAGAUCCAAUCCUAGACAUGCCCACAUCCAUUUCCACACUUGGUUAUAACAAGUUGAAAUUUCUUUGAGUAAUUAUCUUUGGUAAAUCGAAUAUUCGUGACGUCGUGUUAUUUUAAAAAAAAACAAGUAUCGUUUUGAAAUCACGCCCUAAGUCUAGCCCAUUUGAAUUAGUAUCCAUCAAUUUAAAGUUGUUUUUAAUAAUAUAAUCCCAGAAAAAUCAAAGAAGAAAAUAAAGUUAAAAUGGCCUUAUUACAACCCAAAAAUUAAAUAGCAAUUAAAAAUAACUUAAGAAACCAGUCUCUUUUUCAAACCCAAAAGUAUUCACCAUGGCCACUCUGAAUCCCCUCCGGCUCCAAGUCACCCACAUCAAGGCUCACCUCCAAGGUUAAAGAAGGGGUGAGUUUGGGGAAACUCAGUGUGUAAGGAAAACCCAUUCAAAGCCCAAGUCAGCUCAAGCCCAUUAGGCCUAAGCCCAUUCAGGUAACAGUGGUACUGGGCCAGAGCCAUUUUCAGAUUACAAUAAACUGGGCCUUAGCCCCUUAUUCAGAUAACAGUAUGGCCCAUAGGCCCAUUUCAAAAUACAUGCAACAUCAGUAAAUAUAUGCAAGCCCAUUUGGGGAGACUACUCAACCCACAAACCACUACACUCCCCCCGUACCAGCCAUACACUCCAUGUGGGGAAUAGCUCAACUCACCCAGCCCAACACUCCACAGUUGCAGCCUUGCUGCUCAGUUAACAGUAAAUUGAGGCAAAGCCUCCAGUACGUGGACAAGCCACUUUCAGUACUUCCUCCGUCAAUAUCCCAGUCCCAUGCAUCAGAUAAUAACAACAUGGCAUGCAGUAAAUAACAACAGUCAAACAUGCAUUUAGGUCAAUUUAACCCUAUGGGUAUUUCGGUAAUUUAUCUCCUAGGGGUAAAACUGUAAAUUUUUCACUUUUAAAGGCAUUUCAGUAAUUUAUCUAUUUUAGGGUUUUUCAUGCAUAUUCCUACCUUUCACGUACUAACAGAAUCACUACCGAGGGUUCUUACCGAAUUGGGCCCGUUGGCCCAUCAUUCCAAUUUUGGCCCAUUAAGCCCAAAAAUAUCGAGGGCAUAGAAAUCAUGCACUUUGCAGUCCAAACAUUGCAGCUUACCAAAAACAUUAAUCGAUUUACCUCACGAGCAUUCGCACACUCGCAAAUCUACAAAAUACCAGUUUUCGGCAUUUCGGCUUUUCGACUUUUGCCGAUCUAGACUAAGAAAGAGGGUGUUAGUUACACACCUGUUUGCGACGAUAUGCUGACGAGAUCCACACACGAACUGCCUACAAUUGGAUUACUAACACAUUAAUCUAACUAUUCAAAUACGAACUACGUAUUAACCCCUUACAAUAUUCGGCCAACCACACCUACAAAUCAUAGUAAGCUUAUAAGAAAUCAAUAAGCAACUCAUUAACAAAUUUUUGUCAAUAUUUACCACAUAAUCAUAAUUUGACUGCAAGCUGUCUUCCUAAACAAUAGUCACUAAAUCAUUUAUAACUAGAGCUACGAAACUCCAAAUCAAGUUCCGUUAAUUUUACCUGAAAAUAGACUCAUAUAUCUUCUAUCCAUAAAAUUUUCAUAAUUUUUGGUUUAGCCAAUCAAUACCAGAUUUUUCUUAAAGUUUCCCAUGUUUCACUGUUUGACUAAUCUGACCACUCUUCAUUACGAAUCAAAUUUCUCAUUGUACAGAAUUCAAAAUAUGUUCUCGUUUAUUUCAUUUGAAAAUAGACUCAUUAAACUUUAAUUACAUAAUUUAUUCAGCUUCUAAUUCAUCUCCCACAAUUUAUGGUGAUUUUCCAAAUUCACGUUACUGCUGCUGUCCCAAGCAGAUUUAUUACCAAAUCACUCUUUCACACAUACCUUGCAUGCAUGUUAUUUAAACAUGUAUAUCAUCAAUCAAUCAUCACAUAUCUAUGAUUUUACUUAAGUAUAAUCUCCAUUUCAUCAUUUUAAAGUACAACAUGUUAGCCGAUUUUUCCCUUUAGCAUCUAAGGCACAUGCAUGCUCAUUUGUUUGGCUCAACUUCACCUAUCUUCUAUUUUUCAUCAAAAGAACAUGAAACAACGACCAUUUCCUUCAUUUAAUUCAUGACUAAAUGCUCACAACACAACUAAAAACCAAAAUAUGCUUCAAGAGUUAAGGUAGAAUCAAGAAGAACUCAUGAACAUCAAGAUAGAAGUAAACUACCAUGAACUUACCUUCAAUAUUCUUCCCCAAGUAACCGAACAUUCAAGAGCUUUCUCCUCUCCUUUCUCUUCUCUAACUUUCGGCUAUGAUGAACAAAGAUGGACAAAACUUGUUCUUUUCACCCCUUUUUCUUUUAAUAAAAUUUCAUAUUUCAUCCAUUUAAUUCUUUAAUACAAAAGACAUGAAAUUCUCAUCAUGGAACAUUUACCUAACCCAUUAUCAUGGAACAUUUACCUAACCCAUUAUCAUGAAACAUUUACCUAACCCAUUAUCAUGGAACAUUUACCUAACCCAUUAUCAAUUUGUAUCAAUUUGUACCAUAAAUUAUGGAUAUCAAGUGCACAUUUUGUCUACAACAACAUGAUGGUUGGCCACUUCAUGUAAAAUGGGAGGUUUGUCAUGCAAAUCCUCCUAUUUUGCACUCCUAUUUAUUUGGCCACUUCAAUUUAGCCUAUAGCAUUUUCAAACAUUUUCACAUAGGUUCUAUUUCAUAAUUUCACCCCCUUUUUCUUAUGGAACAAAAAUUAACUAAAAUUGUCGGGUUCUAUCUUAAGCUUGGGCCUUCUAGAGGCCCACUAACAUAAUUAAACCUAUGCCAACAUUCACAGAAUUCCCGAAAAUUGGGGCGUUACAGUGAUCAUGUGUACAUGUGUAAAAAUAAAAUACAUAUGUAUAUAUAAUAAUAAAAUAUGAAAUACUUAAUAUUUAAGUAUAUAUACUAUAUUAUAUUAUUUUAAUAAUAAUUAAAGAAUAACUAAAUAAAAUAAAAGAAAUAGAAAAAAAAAAGAACAAAGUAGAAUGAAACUGAGAAGAAAAAGAGAGAAAGAAAAAGGAGAAAAAAAUUAAGGUUUUCAAGGGUUCAAAGCUUAAUUGGUAAGUUAAUUUAGUCCAUUUUCUUAUAAUUUUUAUGUUUUUAGAAUCUUAAAACUAAAUACUACCCAACCCAAGUCAAAAUUUUAGAAAUUAUUGAGUUUUUAAAUGUUCUCUAUGUUGAAUAAUUAGAGUAUUGGGGACUAAAUUGAUAGAUUUUUAAGAUAGAAUGAAAAAGGAUUGAAUUGUAGAAUAAAUAGUAAAUUUUGACUAAAAGGGACUAAAUUGUGAAAAUUUUAAAAUUUAGGGAUUUAAGUGAAAUUAUAGAGUUGAAUUUAGUCUAAAGUGGAAAUUGAAUGAAAAUAUGGAAUUAAUUUUGAAGAAAUAAAGUUAGUCUCGAUUUAGGGACUAAAUUGGAAAUUAGGAAAAUAUUGAACAAAAUUGAAAUAUUUAAUCUGAAAUUGAAUUGUAUUGUAUUGAUGAAUUUUAAUUGGUUUAAUUUCAUAGAAAACGUUGUGUCGGAAACUACGACUAGGAAAGGAAAAGAUAAAGUCGACGAGGAGUAGCUCAAAAGUUCUGGUUUGUAUUUCUAUAAUUUGAAUCUAAGUAUUAAUUGUUGUAUUUUUUAUUUAAUGUUUAUGGUAAGAGAAUAAGGUAAGUAAUUAGCAUUAUGAUAUUGAAUUGAAUAUAUGUGAAUUUAUAAUUAAUGUGAUAUUUGAAUAAUGAAUGAUUGUGGCAUUUGAAAAGUGAAUUGAAACCUUAUUAACUGUAUCGGGCUGAGUUGGAUAUAGAUGGCAUGCCAUAGGAUUGGAAGAGUUCAGGGAUUGCUUCGACCUUGAGUCGAUGAGACACUGGGUGUCAAUCUAUUACUUCGAAUUAAUUCGAUAAGGUAAUGGGUACCAAUUUACUUCGGUUUAACCGAUAAGACACAAGAUGUCAAAUUAUUAUUUCGAAUUAUCCGAUGAGGCACUGGGUGGCAAAUUGGUGUGUUUUGGUUGGAUCCAUGUAUCCAUCCGAGUCCGAGUCGUGUUAAUAAGGGUAAUUAAAAGAAGUGGUACUACGAAAAGUAUUUGGAAAUACCAAAUGUGAAAUGGAAAUGAUACAUAUGGAUUGUGUGACAUAUUGUGAAAAACUAAUUGAGAUAGCAAAUGAUGAGAAUUGAUUGUAGAAUGAUUAAAUUGAUCAAUUGAAUGACUAUUGUUAUUGUAUGAUUAAAUGUGUACGUUAUAUUAUUUUACUUAAAAUAUUCAGAUUAUAGAAAUACCACUAAGUUUAUACUCAGCGUACGGUUUUGUUUUCCGUGCGCAGGUUAGGUACUUAAGUCUGAUUGCCGAAUCAGCAUCCAUCAACGAUCCCGAACUCAAAACGUGGUGAUUUAUAGUUCUUUUUAUGUCGGCAUGUACCUAGGUUGUCUAAAGCUUAUCAUCUUGUGGAGUGAUUGUAAUUAAUAUUAUAAGUUGAUAUUGGUUGAUUAUAUAUAUGAAUAUAUGUAUUAUUGAGACUAUAAUAUGGCAUGUUUAGGUUGAUGCAUGAAUGAACAUGAUAUAGGCAAAAUUUAGGUUGAUAUUGGCAAGGUUUUAAAUUGGUUUUGAUAGAUGUUAUUUGAAAUAUUUUGAAAAUGUUUUUGAAGUAUCUAUAAGGGUACAUUGGUUAGGAAGCUAGGUUGAUUGUUUUGGCAUGUUUAAAAGGUAAUUAAUCGUGUUUUGGAUGGGUUGAACGAAUAGUUUUUUAGUUGCUUAGUGUUUAAGAUUGCAGGGAAUGGUAAACUUGAUGUUUAAGGUUCAUUUUGAGUUCACACGGCCAGACACAUGGGCGUGUGACUAGACUGUGUGAGACACACGGCUAUCACAUUGGCUUGUGGAUUGGCCUUGUAUCCCCUACAACUUUAAAUUUUCAAAACAAAAUGCCCAGGUAUUUUCACAUGGGCAGAGACACGGGCGUGUAUCUCAGCCGUGUGUGACACAUGGCCUAGCACGUGGGCAUGUGGCUUGGCCAUGUGAUCCAAGUCAGAGAGUUACACGGGCUGGGACACAGUCAUGUGUCCCUACUUCAACGCCCUCACGGCCUGAGACAUGGGCGUGUCUCUUGACCGUGUGAGCCACAUGACCUGGACACAUGGGCGUGUAUGUCCUAUGUUUCUUUGAAAAUUUUUGAUGUUUUUGGAAAAAUUUCUAGAAUACCCGGUUUAGUCCCGAUUUGUUUUUAACACAUAUUUUGGGCCUUGAAGGCUCAUAAAAGGGACAAUUUGAUUAAUUUAUUACAUGUAUGCUAAAUGAUUUGAAAUGUUCGUAUUUGAUCUGUUAAGUUCAGUAAUAAUCCAUAACGGGGAGGGAUAAGGGUUAAGGGUGUUACAAUAACCAUAUUCUAACCUCACAAUAACAUAUUCACGCUUAAUAUACUCUCACGUACGACUACAUUAAACUCAUUUUCAAAUAACUCAUUUUACAAUAAUUCACAAGUCUAGCUUAUAUAUUCACAUGCAUUCACAAGUUAAAUGAAAACGACCCAAACUACAAUUACAUACACAAUUUACCAUGAGAAACGAGUUUUUGGUUGAAAACUAGAAAAACCCACAAACUUGAGAAAUGACAAAAUCAAUGUGUUUUGGGUGUUUUUCUUGAAAUUCUAUGGAGAUUUAUGGCUUCGAUGAUAAUAGAAAUUAAAAAAUGAAGUUUGUAAAAUAAAAUUGAGAGGGAGAAGCUUGGGAAGAACAAGGGACGGCAACAAAAAUAUGGAGAAAAACUAACUAUAAAGAUGGAGGGGAAAAAUAUGGUAUUUAUAAAACUUUGAUAAAUUUGCUUUUUAAUUACUCUUAAAUUACAUUUUUACAAAAUGGUCCUUAUUUUAACAUUGAAAGUCUUUUCAAAUGUGUGACACCUAAAACAAAAUGAAUCUUACAUCAAGAUUUUAAUAAAAUUAUACUUUUAAAAUAUACAAAGUUUAACAUAUACGCAAGCACAAUAUGUACAUUUCUUUUCUCUGUUUACUUUGUUGGUUUUUGGGGCAAAACAGAGAAUAUCUCAAUCGGACGAUAGAAUAUAGAAAUCUCAUAUGAUUUAAUAUAUUUGACAAGUCGCACUAUACAUCAAUCUAAAUUGUAUUUUUCUCUCCGAAUUUCGAAAAAGAACUUUUAUAACAACAUUUUACUUCAGAUGAAUGUAAAAUAUCAUAAAAACAAUGUUUAUCCAUGAGCAAAUAAAGCAUGCAUUUCUUGGGUUUAUAGCCAAUUGGAUGAGGGUGGAAAAAAUUUAUGCCCUUUAAUGGAAACUUUGGGUGAACAACAUGGUUGAAAUUGAUAUAAUAAAGUUGUCAACGAAUUGUUGAUGGUGGUCUAAAAAAAACUCUAAUUAAAAGCUUUAUUUUUCCAGUACAUAUCUUCAAUUAAAACUAAUCUCAGAAACUCUCCUUUAUUUUAUUUUUUUACAUAAAUUUAAUUAAAACAAAAUAAAAUGAAAAAUUUCAAUUUAAAGAAAAAAUUCAUAAAUCAAUUUUAUCAAACAAAAACUAAUAAUAUUUUUAUUCGAUAAACAUAAGUACGAGUUAAUAUCUAAGAUAAUUUUAUUGAAAAAUAUAUCCUAAUGAAAAACUAAUAAUAAUAUAAAUAGUAAAAUCUAAUCUAAGUUGAUGGUGCCGCAGACAAUUCAAUCUAAGUUGAUGGUGGUGUUGCAGCUGAUUUUUUAGAACAGUAUUCCUUGAAUUUGGAAGUCACAUCACGCCAGGCAACAAAUAUUACUUCUUUAAAGCAAUAAUCUGGAACUGCCAUAAACCCAGAACAACAUUUUAUUGGAAAUAAAAUCUUGUGAAAAUUAAAAGAUUUUAACAUAUCGUCAAAGCAUUUGUCAUCAACAUAUUUAUCCAUGUACUGAUUGCACUUAUCUUCUCUUGGAUUCCCCGUUGGUGACUCUUUCGGCGGCGGCUUUGUAUCAUCUGGUGGUGGUGAGCUAAAAAAUGGUGGAAAAUUUAACAAUGGUUGUAAAAUUUGGUCUAUUAACCAUAAACAAGGGAGCCGUGGCGAAAAAUUAUUAGGUUGUUCAGUUGAAUGAUAAUCAUUAAUAGAAAAUCCUUGACCGAACAAUAUGGCUAAGAAAGACAAAAUAAAUAACGAAGCUAACAAGACACCAUUCAUAUCGAUGAAACUUCAAAAAGCUUAAUAAAAUUGAAAGAAAAGAAAAUAGAAUAUAAUUUUGUAAUGCAUAUAGCUAAUAGAAUAAGCAUAUAUUUAUAGCAAAAAAAAUUAUCUUAUUUUUAAAAUAAUUAUAUAAUAGAUGAGAUAUAUAACAACUUUAUCAAUUGAUUGUAAAUAAAAACUAAUUUUUGAAAUCAAAUAAUUCAAUGCAAAUCUUAACCUUUGUGAUCUAUUAUCAACAAUUUUUAAAAAAAAAAUUGAAAAUUUAUAUUUCUAAAUUAAAUAUUUUUUCUAGUAAUUGAAUAAAAUUUAUUAAUAUCAUAUGUGUGAAUACCUUAAAAGGAAGAAUUUGUUUACCAUUAUUUAUGUUUGUUGGCUAGUUGUAAGAGUUACUUAUCAUUUCUUGAUGUCAUCGUAGCUAUAAUAUUUUUCCAUUUAAAUUUUUUUCUCUUUGUGAUUGUUAAUCUAUAUUAAAAUUUUACUUUUUUUUAAAACAAAUAAAACUUUCAAGAAAUUAAAAAAAUAGUAAAUCAAAUAUGUAAAUAGAUAAAACGAUAUAAUGAAAAGUUUUGAAUUUAAUUUCAUUUAGCAAUUCAAAAAUAAAUAAUGUUCUCUCAUUUCGAGUUUAUUAGAUUUAGGUAACAACCAUUAUCAAUUAUUCAUUAUUAUUCAAAAUUAAGAAUAGAAUAAAUAUUUUGAUUAAAAAUAAUUUUGUAUCCUCACUUCAAAAAGAUUUUAAAUGAUUAACUUAAUUUGUUCAUAAUUAGUCAAAAUAUUUAGUCAAAUAAUGAUAUUUUGAAGAGUUUGAGCAUGAUUUACUCAACUUGUUUAAAGAAAUAUUGCAAUCAAAGUAGUUAAAAGUGAAAAAUAUCUCUUUUAUUUUGUGCUAUAACAAAGGUUUUAAUUGAAACGAAAUUCAAGUGAUUUAUGUUAAUCAUGUUAACUUGGAUUCACAAAUUUACAAAAAACUAUAUAUUGGAAUAUUUUAUUUUAUUUUAUUUUCAGUGUGCAAAUUAGAGAGUUUCAAUUUAGUUUGAAAGAAACAUUUAUAAGUGUUUUUAUGUGGUAAAUAAUCAUUGUGAAAAGAUUUAGUGAAAAAGUUGGAUAUAGAUAAUUGUAUAACAGUGGAAGAAAAGACAGGUUGAUUCUCCAAUAUAUUAUGUCAAUUAUUGACCAUAAUGAAAGCAACGGUAGGUUGUGAAUUCUGAGUUUUGAACAAAAUACAUAUGAUUACUUGGAAUAUCUGUGAGGCAAAGAAACUAGUGAAAAGAAGAUUUCUGACGAAGAUGAUCUAGAAGGCUAGGUGUUGAUGGCCAAGUAAAUAGGUCGAGAAGGUAUGGAUGGCCAAAUGACGUUUUUUACUUUGUUUUUUUUUUCUCCUUUUGUCAGUAUCUCAAGAAAGAUAAUUGUUAUAUUGGGCAAAUCAAAGUUUGGGAUUAUGUGCAGUGAGGUAGGUAGAAAUUUGAUUCUUCAAAAAAAAAUGAUGUUAUUGUGAUUUUUAAGUGUAUGAUGGCAUACAUUUAUACACUAUGUGUCUUAAAACAAUAGAAGUGUUUAUGGGCGAAGAUUAUCACUUUGGUGCUUCGAUGGAUAGUGGCUUGGUGUGUGGGGGAUUUUGUUGCUAGGUAGAGAAGAAACAAAAAAAGAAAAAGAAAAACUUUGGAGAGGAAAACUUAAAGGAUGAAAGAAAUGAAUUAACAAACUUUGAAUGUAUUUUAAAAUGCCAUAUAAUAGAAUAGCUUGGAAUGUAUUAGAAACGUUAAGAGCAAGUGUAAUUCUAGUGCAAGAAAAUUACAUUUACAUCUUAACUAUUGAAAAUAUUAUUUUCGUAACCAUUUUUUAAAAAACGGGAAUCGACUUGAAUUUUGAAAAUGAAAACGAAAAACUGGAGUCACCACCAAUCCUUUUUUUGAUGAGGUGUGAUCGGGUCACCUCAUAAAAAGUGGUUGUUUUUAAUAAAUGGUUUGAUUUAUUUAAACAACGAUUUUGGUCCACGCAAAUUAAGAAAACAGGUUCGGGAGUCGAUUACGCACGAGGAAGGAUUAGCACCCUCGAUACACCCAAAAUUGGUACCUAGUUGAUUAAUUAGUGUCUUAAUGUCGAAGAUUUGAAAACUUGAAAGAAUUUAAAAUACGAUCCCUCUUCGAAUUAAUGCUAAAAAAUGAUCGAAUAAGUUAAAACGGAGGUUAAGGACUCUCUCAUCUCGAAGUAAUAAAACGUCACGUCUAGUAAGUUAGGACACGACAUGACGAACUUUGAGAAUGAGCUUGUCUAUAUUUGAAAUUCAUGUAUUUUGACCCCUUUUUUAAAAGGGUAUUCGACUAUUUAGUAUAAACGAGAAAAAUCGAAACCGAGUAAGUUAGGACACGAUAUCUCGAAUUUCUAAAUGCCGAAUAUUGCCUUUGUUAACAAAAAUCUUAUCCCGAGGUAACAAAAUGUUAUACCCGGUAAGUUAGGGCACAACACCUCGUAACUCCGAAAGUAAGUAUUUAUUUCUAAACUCGUAUUGUGAUUUAAAAGAAUAUUCCGUUAUUUAGGUUAGAUGAGAAAAAUCGAAACCCAGUAAGUUAGGGCACGAUUGUUUCGAAUUACCAAAUACGGAAUAUUACUUUUAUGAAAGAAUUAUUUUGGGUUGGGUAAAAGUUAGUAUAACAUAAGUUGUAAUAAAAUGGGAUAAUAAAGAAUGCAUAGGCAAAUACAAAUUUUGAUAUUGAUAGGCAUAACAGAAUAAACAUAGAUGCGGAUGUGAAGGAUAAUGAUAAGAGCAAAAAUGAAUAAAACGAAUAAAAAAGAAAUAACGAAUAAGCUAGUAAAUAUUCGAAAUUAAAAGGAACUAAUCAUAAAUAAACAAUCAUUAUGUAAAACUAAAAAUGAUAGUAUAGCAAUGAUAAUAAUAAUAUUAAUAGUAAUAAUACAAGUAAUAAGUAUUUUAAGGUUUGGAAUGAUGUAUGAAAAGGUAUAUAUGUAUGUGUAUAUAUGAAUAAAUAAAUAAUAUAUAAUAUGAGUGAGAAAUAAAAAACAAAAUAAAUGUAUUUAAAGAGUAAUGGGUAAAAUAUAAUAAUAAUAAUAUAAUAGUAGUAAUAAUAAUAAGGUAAUAAAUAAUAACGGUAAUAGUAAUAAUAAUAUAUAUAAGUAAUAAUAUAAAUGGAUACAUAGAGAAUAUAUAUAAUAACAUAAUAAUAGCUAUGUAAAAUUAAUUAAUCUAAUAACAUGAUGAUAAUACUAGUAAUAAUAAUAAGGUGGAAAACAAUAAUAAUAAUAAAUUAGUAAGAAGAAAAACAAUAUAUUUGUAAUAACAAUAAAUAAUAAUAAUAAUAAGUUAAAUUAAUUGAUAAUGAAGUAAUAAGUAAAUAAAUAUAAAAAAGAAAGUAUAUAAUAUAAUAUUUAUAUGAAAUUAUUUAGUUUAAUAAUAAGAUGAUAAUAAUAGGGAUAAUAUUAAAAUAAAGGUAAUAACAAUAUGUUAAGUCAUAAUAAUAAUAGUAAUAAUAUUUAAAAUAUAUGUAUAUAUAAAAACAGUGGUAAAAGGAUAUGUAUAUAUAUAAUAAUAAUAAUGAUGGAUAUAAUAAUAAAAAUGGCAUUAGAAUAAAAUAAAUAUAAGUAUAAAUAUAAUGAUAACAAUAAUAACAAUACAUUAAUAAAAAUAACAAGAACAUGUUAGUAAUAACAAAUUAAUGAAUUAAUAAUAAAAUGAAUAAAUGAAUACACAUGAAAAAAAAUCAUAAUAAUAGUAUUAGCAAACUACUACUAAUAAUAAUAAUAAUAAUAAUAAGCUUAAUAAAAAAUGAUACAAUGAUUACAUUAAUAUUAAAAAUAAUUAAUUUAAUGUUGAAGGCAUGAAAAUGAACAAAAAAAGGACUAAAAAUCGAAACAAAACAUAGUUCUGGGGCCAAAUUAAAAAAUAAAAAUAAGGGAAAGGACCCAUUUGGAGUGCGCGAAUAACAUGGGGGACUAAAAAGGAAAUUUUUCCUUCUCCCAAAACGCUGCGCUUUAAUCAGGACCAAAAUGUAAACGAAAUAAAAUUAAAUGGGUGAAUUUAAAAGCAUAAUAAGUUUAAUUGUAAAAUGAUAAAAAAGCGGAAGGGCCAAAAGCGCAAAUAACCCCUCCGCUUCAAAACACGCGGAUCCCAAGGUAAGACGGGUCGGGUCUUCAGGUCGGCGCCUAAACGGCGCCGUUUCAGCAUUUUAAAGAGGCUGGGCAAAACGGUGCGUUUUGCCAGCCUAUAUAAGCCAUAUUUUUUUUAUUUCACCUUCUCCUUUUAAAAAAAAAACAAAAAAAACCUUCAAAUCCUCUCCCCCUUUUCUCUCUGCCAACCCAGAAUCCGGCGAGGAGUAGACCGGUCGCAGUCGUGCCGUCCACCGUGCCGGCCACCGUGAAUCGGAAAAUGGUAAAAAUUUGAUUUUUUUUUUAUUUUCUAAAAUGUAUUUAUAAUAUGUGUGUAUGAGGGUAAAUAGAUUAAGAAAAAAAGAAAAAGAAAGAAAACAACGAUAAUGGUCAAAUGAAAUCAUCUUGGGCUAUUUAGAUUUUUUCUCUGUUUAGGCUAUUUUCUGCUUUUGAUAUUGUUGUGGUCUCCGUUCUUGCUCAUAGGUUUAAAAUCUAAUGUUGCUUUUAUUUUUACCAAUGGCCAAUCGAUACAAUGGUUUCUGCUUGGCUUUUUAUAGCCAUUAAAUGCCUCUCCUUUCUACUUUCUGUCCCUUCUCUAUUUAAUAUUUGCAGGUAGUGGAGCAAGUAGGUGGCUGACGUGACAGUGGCGGUGGAGCAGAGGCGAUGGCCAAAUUCUGACAUGGGGCGGCAGCAGUUGAUUAGGCUAGGGUUUUUAGUUCCCCCUUUUUUUGUUUUGUGUAUUGGGCUUGGGUUCUUUUAGGCUUAAGGCAUUUAGUUGGGUAUUAAUUUGGGCCAGCAAAUUGGACUUGUACAAUUAUAACUUGAUUAAAAUUAGUAUAUGACCGAACAUAUAUUUAUACUAGUGAACAUUAUUAAACUAUAUCUUAAGCCUCAAUCAUUUUUAUCAAUAUCAUAUUUUUAUCCAAAACAUAUAAUUUUCUAGUCUUAAAAGGACAAAAAAAAGGUAUUUAGUAGAAAAAUCAAUUGAACUUUUUAAAUCAAGUAGGUUUCUCUAAACGAUUUGACGGACGAUAGUCACAAAAAAAAAAAACGAUGCAUGCGACGUGGAAGAAUGACAUGCCAUGUCCGCUGGUUAUUCCUUACUUGUAUCUCGAUAUUGUGCUUGCUUUCUUUGGUUGGUACAGUUUCUUUGUUUCUAAGCAGCUUUUUUCAUUGUCGCUUUUUUAUGUGUUGCAAAUUCUUUAUUCGGACAUUUUUUGUGCACCUAGUCUAUGUUUUACAAUAUGUGUUGAGCUUUUUUAUUUGAUAAUGUUUUUUAAGCUGGUUUGGUUAUCGCCAAACUGGUUUUAAGAAAAUUGCAUUGUUUUUAUUAAUUGCAAUAAAAUAUAAAGGACAUGCAUGAUAAAAUAUUAUCUUUUUUCUUUCAACCUAAGCUAAAUGAUAAAUGAUAAAAUUUGACUACGGCUGAAUAAGAGAGCUUCCACUCCGAAUAAGUUCAUGGGCUAAAAUCUGGUUUGCCGCCUCUGUAGGAUGAAAGCUAUCCCAGAAAACAUAUUGAGAUGCAUUGGAGCAUGUUCCAAUGGAGUGUUGAUUGCAUAGUAUUGACGUUUCCAGCAAUCCAGUCCCACAACAAGCUCUUCUUACCUCUGCAAAACCUGUUUUCAUAUGCUUAAAUUAUUAGUGCUUUCUCGCCUAGAAGUGAAGCUUUACUCAUGCUACCAGAUUUUUGAAAUAAUAUAGAGUAAGUAUUUAAGAUAUAUAAUAACAUCUUUACCAUUCUCAGCAGGCUCUGUGAUAAGGGUGUAAAGAGGAUUGUAGAUGUCUAAGACAACCAACUUAAGCUUAGAAAGCCUUCUUGUUAACCUUUGAGACCUGUGCUUGAGCUUGUUGUUAAAUGAAAUCGCAUUGUUAUUUAACCUGGCCACACACUGAUUGUUUCCAUGCCCAAAAGCUGUGAUUGCUGCUGGUAAGCACCCAAGUGGUGGCAAAGUUGUGACUCCAAUUCUCCUUGCUCCAAGCUCGUACAGAUUCUGUGACAAACUUCAUCUAUUAAUAGAAAACCAUGAAAUUGUAUUGUUUUUUAUUUAAGAAAAAAAUGCUAGGGAAAACCUGAAUGAAAUGAUCAUAUGAGUUAAGGAGAAUAUCUGAGAAUGUGUCUGGAGUAUAGGUGGUAAAUAAUAAAGGAUUAAUGUAAUAGUUUUGAAGAAAGUCACUGCUCCCAGCACUAAUAAGAUGGAUUCCACGAGAUAUUCUGGAAGAAGCAUUAAAUUUUCCCGUAAUAUCCACCAACUUAUUUUUGUACUCUCUGUAGUUCUCCAACUGUUGACUCAGAGAGAUGGUAUUCUGUAACAAGAAAUAAAUAUUUAAAAGCCCGUAGGGAAAUAGAGAAAUAAAGACAAGUUUUUGUUUCAUUUUUACUUACAUAUAAAAUUGCUGUAGCAUUAUAAUAACCGGAAGCAGCUGAUGCAAAAUUGGCUCCAAUCAACAACAUUUCCCCGUUAGCCUUGUCACUCAUGUAAGCGAGCUGAUAGUCAGUGAAGCCAAUUUGCUCAGCUGUGUUUUUAAAACCAAAAAGAAAAAGAAAAACCAUUAGUUAAAUAAAUAUUUAUAUAUAAACAAUAUAAAUAAAUAAAUAAAAAGUUUAUUGAAUUAACCAAUGAUAUCUAAAGCUAAUUUCCCGUUGCAAAAUCGUCCUGUUGGUUCAUGGUCAACAAAAUCCCUCCCAUAAGGAGGGAAGUUAGCUUUUAUUAGGGUGACAAGAUCAUUGUUGUUUCCUACGUCAAAAAUGGAGUCUCCAAAUAUGAAUAAAGCAGGAACAAAUUGACCCUUAACCUCAAGUAGCAGAAAGGUAAGAAAAAUAAACGGAGCUAGAAACUUCAUUUUUGACGAUAAGUGAGAGAGAAGUAGGUUGGCUUAGAAUAGCUUGGAAAUGGCUCACAAACAGUAAGUGAGAUAUAGUUUGAAUGCUUAGAAGAAUGUUUGUUUGUUGGUGGCAUCUACUUUGAUUUAUAAAUUCCUUUCAUUAGCUUUUUAUAAUCACACUUAUUAUAUUUUUCACCUACUUAAAAACAUUAUUUUACAUGUUUCACCUAACCAAAACAUGUAAAUUAUAAUGAAAUUUUGAAUACUUAAUAAUUUUAAAUAUAAUACUAUUUUCAUUAAUUUAUAAUCAUAAUAUUUUUCUUUUCACCUAUUUAAAAAUAUUAUUAUUUCAUUGUUUCACGCCAUAAAUUUUGUUAAUAUAUAAAUUAUAACAUUAAUUUUCUUGAACAAACAAUGUGAUUAAGAAAAACAAAAACACAAAAUAAAACCAUCAUGACACUGAAAACUUUGAAAAGUUAAACCACAAUGAAAUUGUAAUUUCGCAAUGCAUAUAAUUAAAAAAAUUCUAUAUAAAUAUAAAAACAAUAUGUAAUUACAUUAAGAAGGUUACCAAUAUGUAAUAAUGAAAUAUUAAAGUUUAAAUAAAUAAAAAUUCAAAAUUAUUAAGAAAAAAUAAAAUUAAUAAAUAUUUUAAUUAUAAUAAAAAUCAUUAACUAAUUAGUUACAAAGGACAUUAUGGAUGAUGAUAAUCACCUGAAUCAUUUGUAAAAAUAAAUAAAUAAAUAACAUAAAUCUACUAAAAUAUUACAAAUUAGCCGAUCGUUGAGCAAUCAGUAGGCUUAAACGACACCGUACGCUUUUCAUGAUCAUAUCCAAUAAUCAAGAAAUUAAUCUGCGCCAAGUUUCCAUAAAUUGCAAAAUCUUCAACAGAAGAGAAGCUGAAGCACCUAACAGUGUCUGAAAGCGUAACAAAGGUGUUCAAUGGCUUCAACUUAACAUCGGCAUCAGUGAAAUGCACUAUAACAUCGGGAAUUUCGAUGUCGUUUCGAGCAUCAUAGCAUAACUCCUUAAAUUCAAAUUAGCAGUACCUAAAUCCACUCAAUCUAAUGCGUUUUUGGUACAUUUUUUAUAAUCCAAUCUUUACACUUUAAACCAUUACUCCAAUAAUGUAUCUCUAAUUAAAUGCACUUCAUUACACUAAGUUACAAUUUUUUAAUAAUUUGAUUAAUCUUUUUUAAUAAAACAGAAAAUAUCUCAAUUGGAUAAGAAUAAAGAAAUUCCAUUUAAUCAAUAUACUUGACAAGUCACAUUAUACAUCAAUCUAAAUUACAUCUUUUUCUCUAUAUUUCAAAAAAGAACUUUCACAACAACAUUUUACUCCGUGAUUUAUUAAUAAGAGAAUAACGUAAAAUAUCAUAAAAACAAUGUUUAUCCAAUAGCAAGCACCCUUUUGUAAUGGAAACUUUGGGUGAACAACAUUGUUGAAAUUAAUAAAAACAAAUAAUAAAGUUUGUUAUUUUUUUACAUAAAUUUAAUUAAAACAAAAUAAUAAUAAAAUUUCAAUUUAAAGCAAAAAAUUCAUAAAUCAAUUUUAUUAAACAAAAAUUAAUAAGUUCUUUUUAUUCUACAAGCAUAACUAAGAGUUAAUAUCUAAGAUAAUUUUAUUGAAACAUAUACCCUAAUUAAAAACUAAUAAUAACAUAUAAAUAGUAAAAUCUAAGUUAAUGGUGUUGCAGCUAAUUUUUUAGAGCAAUACCCUUGAAUUUGGAAGUUACAUCAUGCCAGGCAACAAAUAUUACUUCUUUAAAGCAAUAAUCUGGAAUUGCUAUAAACCGAUAACAACAUUUUGUUGGAAAUAAAUCUUGUGAAAAUUAAAAGAUUUUAACAUAUCAUCAAAGCAUUUGUCAUCAACAUAUUUAUUCAUGUACUAAUUGCACUUAUCUUCUCUUGAAUUCCCUGUUGGUGACUCUUCUAGCGGCGGCUCUGUAUCAUCUAGGGGUGGUGAGCUAAAAAAUGGUGGAAAAUUUAACAAUAGUUACAAAAUUUAGUCUAUUAAUCAUAGACAAGGGAAUUAUGGCGAAAAAUUAUUAAGUUGUUCAGUUGGACGAUAAUCAUUAAUAAAAAAUCAUUAAUCAAACAAUAUGGCUGAGAAAGACAAAAUAAAAAAUAAAGUUAACAAAACACUAUUCAUAUCUAUGAAACUUUAAAAAGAUUAAUGAAAUUGAAAGAAAGUAAAUAGAAUAUAAUUUUGUAAUGCAUAUAACCAAUAGAAUAAGUAGAUAUUUAUAGCAAAAAAUUUAUCUUAUUUUUAAAAUAAUUAUACAGUAGAUGAGAUAUAUAACAACUUUAUCAAUUGAUUUAAAUAAAAAUUAAUUUUUGAAAUGAAAUAAUUCAAUGCAAAUCUUAACCUUUGUGAUCUAUUAUCAACAAUUUUUUAAAAAAUUUUGAAAAAUUAUAUUUAUAAAUUAAAUAAAAAAAUUUUCCCCUAAUAAUUGAAUAAAAUUUAUUAAUAUCGUAUGGGUGAAUACCUUAAAAGGAAGAAUCUGUUCAAAUAAGGCAAAGGCAAGAGAGACCAAGGAUAACAAAAACAUUGGCUGCCAUUGUUGUACGGUGAUUGAGAUUAAGAAAAUUUCUGGUUUGAAUUACUUAUUUGAUAGGGUUGAAAGGGUAGUUGAAUCAGCACAAAACAAAUCAAAUUCCAAUAUUUAAAGAGUAAUUAAUGGUGAAAUAAGGACCAAAAAAUACAGUGAAUUUCUAUUUUUUUAAUUGAAUCUCUUGAGAUUCUUCGAACCAUAUGGCCUCCUUAAAUUGCAAUUAUAGUGAGCAUGGGAAAGUAUAAUUUAUAUAUAUUUGCGUUGAUGCUGUUGAAUUUAUGUGGAAUUAUUUAUAGUGAUAUUGAUUAUGUUAAGAAUUUGAACAAUCCUGCCUAUUGAUAAACUAAACAUGUUAACUGAUAAUUAAUAUCUAAGUAUUUUAAUAGUUUUGAUUAAAUUUUAAUUCAAUUUUAAUUUAAUUAUUUAUAGUGUUAAUUAAUAUUGUUGUCAAUAAAAGAUAAUGUGGAUUUAAAUGCGUUGAAUUAACGAAAAUUUAACAUGUAUUCCGUUUUUUGCAGAGUUGGCGUCCAUAGAGAAUGCUCUUCCAGCAUCAUGAGUCAGAUCUCUUGGCAACUAUAUUGAAAAAAUGAAUCAGAUCUUUUACAGUAUUUCCACAGUAAAGUACUGUGUGUGAGUUUUGUGGGCUUUGUAAGCACAAACAGAAUCUCAUUCAGCAGAUCAGCUCUUCUAAUAUCUAAUCCCCCUUGAACAGAGUUUAUCCUAAUUAUACAUGUGCAAUUUCUUAAUGUUUUGAUCAUGACCCCACUGGAUAACAGGAUAGCACAUAGAACGAAAUAGAGGAAAGAACUGAUUUAAUAAGUGUGUACCCCCCACCAAGAGAUAGACAAUCUCAAGCUUAGACAGCAUCUUAUCAAUCAUUGAUCGGAAAAACCUCUGAUCAUUCACGCAUCUAAUCUGAAUACCUAAAUACUUUCCAGGCAGCCAAAAUGCUCGACACCCAUCGUUUCUUAUUGCUCCGUCCGGCAAGUCGUAAAAAACAAUUCAGAUUUAUUAGUGCUGAAAAGAAAAUACGAACAUCUGCAAAUAACAAAUGUGACGCAACAGACACUCUUGAUAACAUCAGAUUCUCCCUCAUUAAUGCUACAAUUUGUCUCUUCUUACCUAUACUUAAUUCCCACAUUAAUUCAACCCUUUUUCCUUAUUCGUUUAGCUUUUCUCAUAUUCAGUUUAUAUCUUUUGACAUUUUCCUACAUAUUUCAUACAAAAUUCACAUUCACUAUUCAAAAUUCAAUCUACUUUUGACUUCUCUUCAGUUUAUUUUUGCCAUAAAAAGAUCCGUAAUUUCAAUGGCUACCAAACAGAUUAAUAUUCUAACCAUUUUUCUGUUGUUUUUCUCACUCUUUCUUCUUAACCUUCCUGGAACCAAUGAAGCCGUAUACAGAAUCCAUGAUUUAAGCCUGGGAAACAAACAGAAAGAUAGUAAAAUUAUGAACUUUAACCAAGCUUCCAUGACUCAUCUCUUCGCCAAAGGUUUCCCCCUCCCUCCUUCAGCUCCAUCGAGAAGACACAAUGAUGCCUCCCAUGGUUCAGUUGCAUGGUCUAAAAGUUUAGCCCCUAUGACUGCAUAAACAAAUCAAGUUGACUGCUUUGAAGCUUGUUCAAGGUUUUUUAAGUAGCUUUUUUGUGUUAUUGGGAAUUACAACACAUGUUUAUCUGUAGUUCAUGUUUUUUGUUCCCUUGUUUUUAGUUUACUUUGCAAUAAGAAAAAGAAUUGCAAAUACCAGAUUUGAAGCCAAUGUUACUUAAAAAAACAACACUAUGUAUGCAUCAAUUAGAAAAGGAAUACAGGAUAUGCUUUUAUCAUUUUUCCUUUUUUGUUAAACCAAUUAAGGAUUUGUUUCUAUACAUAUGUGGACAUGCAUUAGGAAUUUUAAUGCAGUCAUUCUUUUUUAUUAUAUUUGUGUUAUUUAAUUUUUUUCGCAUUUAUUAGAUAACGAUGAAAGAUCAUUUAAUAAUUUAGAGUAAAAUAAAAUUAAGGGGUUGGCUAAAAAAACACCCCUAACAUAUUAAAAAAAACACCCUAAUUCUCCUUUUCCUUAUAAUUGAUUACAACAUUUCUCAUUUUAUUUGAUGAGUAUUGUAAACGGGCCAAUUUACCCGGCCCAUUAGAAACCCAAAAUAAAAUACAAAAUAAAUAAAUAAUAAAAAACCACAUAAUUAACAGUCCAUUAAAUGUCCUUUUACAAACAUGACCCAAAAACCAAUAACCAACCAAAGCCCAAAUUAAUACCUAAAACCAAAUUAACCCAAGACCCAAAAUACAAGCCCGAUAGGCCCUAAAAAUUAAAACUCUAGAACCCUAGGGUUCUCUCCUCGCGCCGCAGCCAAGAACCGGACAUCGCCUCCAGCAACCAUGCCAAGCCUCCAACACCACACGACCAGCACACAGCCCUUGCACGCUACGCCCGCGCCUCCGUACGAUGCCAACGCACUCCGUACCUGCGAAAGAAAACAAACAAAAGCAACAGUAGAGCAGUAGCAAAUAGGGAAUAAUGAAAAUUUUGUAUUUUGUUUUUCUUUCUUUUCGGCUAUAAAGGCCUCAAAAUUUCUUUGUAUUUUGGUUAUGAGCACAGGCGAUAUACGCACACCAAAAAAAAACACACAGAGAAUAGAAAAAAACAAGCAAUCAAAUAGCAGAGAUGAUUUCUUUUUUUCUCCGAAUCUCUUUAGUUUUCUAUGCAUCGUUUCGUUUUCUGUUUGGGUCAUUCGCUAUUGUUAUUUUGAAAAAAAAAUAAAAGAACGGUGACAGAGGAGCCUUACCGUGCAAGCAAGCCAUGGAUUUCUUCUCCCUUCUUCGUUGAAAUCGAAGUUAAGGAGGGAUUUCGGGCUAAGAUUCCUUCAGGCUCGAAGAGCCCUACAUGGUGAAGAUGAAUCGGCAUUUAGAAAAGGGGGUUAGGGAUUUGAAAAAUAAGCAGAAUGGGUGCUUGUUGGUUCUGUCGAUUUAGUCCAUAUAAAAGACUGGGAACGGCGCCGUUUUGACCAAUUUUAAUGGUCUUGAUACGAUGUAGUGUGGUGGCCUUCACCCGAUCACCCGACCCACGCCUGGUUAAGACCCGCGUGUUAGGUCAGGGAGGGAUAUUUUCACCUUAAGUCCUUUUGUUCGGCGUUGUGUUGUAAUUGAGUUUUAUCUGCUUUUUCCUUUGUUUUAAAUUUAUUCCUUUAAUUUACAAGUUAAGUCAAUUCGAUCCGCGCUUAAACGCAGCACUUUGGGAUCUGGUAUAUAACCAUUUUUAUUCCCUACGCAUCCGCGCGCGUUAAGCUUUAGUCCUUCUUCUAAUUUCAGUAACUUAUUGUAUUUAUUAAUUGUCCUUUUAGUUUUAUUUUUGUUUCAAUUUUCUUUUUAUUUAUUCAUUAUUUUCAGCAUGUUUUUGUUCUUUGAAACCCUUUUAUUUUUGAAAAUUUAC
rnacentral:lncRNA from 1 species